rnacentral:lncRNA from 1 species
UUUAGCAUCUCUGUCUCAACUUGACCUAAGAGAAUGCAAAAAACUUACUCAACUUCCAGACUCCAUAGGCUCCCUUGUGUCUCUAUCUUGGUUGUCAUUGUCGGGAUGCUGCUCGUUGAGACAAAUCCCAAACUCGAUCGGAAAGUUGACAUCAUUGACUAAGCUGCAUUUGAAAUCCACCGCCAUUGAAGAACUACCUGAAAGCAUCAGAAGUAUGCAGAACUUGAGGAUGUUGGACAUUUGUGAAACUCCUAUAAUAGAACUACUUGAUGACCGGGGAAUAUUGGCAGAACUCCAAGGGUUAAGAGCUUUAGGAUGGAAAAAUCUAGAAGGGCCAGCUAGUAAUAAUGGCCAGUUGGUUUCGCCAAACAAUCUUGAUUUAGAGAAGUAUCAAAAACUAUAUGAGCUGCGCUCUCGCGUACUAGCUCUAGGUAUCACUUACUAGAUUCCGCAAUCGUUGAAUCUUUCUCAACUAAACUUUCUCAAGAAACUCACUAUUUCUGAUUGACUUGAAUGCCUCCCAAACCUUUCUAUAACACUUUGUAGAAAGCUGUGAAACUUGAUUUUGUAUUUUCCAAAAGUCCAAGCUGUUAGUUAGGCAUUCUAUUUACUUUAUGUCUUUCGAUGCAGUUCUCUUAAAGCGUCCCAAGAGUCCUCCUGCCAGCAGCUCAUCCAUGGACUACCAAAUGGCAAAUUCUGAACAUGUUUUGAAGAGAUCAAGACCUUUUGGAAUCUCAUAUGAAGUACUUAUUUCAUCUUGCUUUUUAUUUAUCAUUCUUCAUUAGAGGAUGGCUCAAUCUACAAAGAGAAGUAUUUUACAGAGUGAUCUAUUAUCUGUUAUGUAUGGAAUGCUUUUCUCAACAUUCAUAACUAGAUCUCUUAGAGUUGUCACACGUACUUCUUGCUAUUUUAAGUCUUCUACUCAUGGAAGUGGGGAUUUUUGGUUUUCUUAAAUUAUAAAGUGAAGUUGGAUAAUAUCUCCUGUUCUUUUGCGUUUCUCUUUUUUAAUUAUCUUUUUUUGCAUGCCAUUGAUCGAAAACUUUCUGAAAGUGCUCUCACUUUUGUGCUAUUGCGGCAUAUGAUCAUGCAUUGAGAAUCUUUAGAAGUGUGGAAAGGGAUGGUGGUCAAUUUAUAAAUAUUGAUUGUGGAAAGGGAUGGUGGUCAAUUUAUAAAUAUGAGGGAAAGCCUCACCUUUUAAGUUAGCUUUUGGGGUGAGAUGAGCCCUAGACCACCCAACAAGAAGAAAAUUUUAGUUUUUCAGGUUCCUAGAUACCCUUAACUUUCAUGAUGUUAACCUAAUGAAAUAAUUGAGGAUUGGAAGGAUUAAUAGGAAGUUUGAUGGAGAGAUAAUGGAGCAAAGGGGCUAAGGUUGUCAAUUUGUGUUUGCUUGUCUUAAUUGUGUUUGUGACCAUGUCAAUUCAUCAUGACUUCUAUUAGACAUGUCAAAUCAUUGAAUUAGACAAAAACAUGUAAAUAUCUAAACAUGUGGUGAUGUGUCAUAUUGGGCUGUGUCUGUGUUUUUCGUAUUUGGUAUCGUCAUGUAAAUAGCCUAUGCCAAUAUUGGUAGCAUUAAUGAGGAGCGUGGACUAGGUAAGUGAUGAUUACAUCUUCUCCAUCAUGCAUUCAUUGUGCUUAGUAUGCUAAUAAAAGAGUAGUUCUCAUAUGAGUUUUGCAUCUUUUGAGUGUCAUGGUUUUGAUCUAUUCUCUAAAGGACUCACUGGUUUUGUAAUCUUUAUGACCUUCUAUUAGGUGAAAAAUUUGCCAAUAAACAUUCUACUUGACACAUACAACUACCAAAGCCUCGGUCAAAGUUCUUAUUCUUCAGAUGACUUGCCCAGAAAUGUAGUCAUUACCCUAAGUCAAGGUUCACUUGUUAAGAGUAUGGAUUUCCAUCCAGUGCAACAAAUUCUGUUGCUUGGUUAGCACUUCUUUCUUACUCUAUGAAGACCAUGUUUCUUGCUUAUCUUCAGUUGGGGAUAAGUACACUAGAAGUGUCAAAGUUAUGUACGACGUUCACUUUAGUACCAAUUUUUUUUUUUUAUCACUUAAGUGCCACUUUAAAAGAAAAAAACACACGAUCAUUUGAGUGUCAACUCCGAUUUGGAUCGUCAGAAAUCUGACGUGAUUAUAUUUUAUUAAUUUCUCAAUUCUACAUGGCUCAUCUGCAUGUCUCGUCAGCAUAUAAUCCUUAAAUGACGUCAUCCAAAAGUUAUAAAUAAUGAUCAUUUGAGUGCUAAAUUUUAUUUAAAGUGAUAAUUUGAGUGCCAAAUUUUGUUUAAAAUGAUCACUUUAAUGCUAGUUGUUAUGAAAAAGCAAUAACUUUACCAAGCACGCCACGUGGAAAUGCCACAUGGACUAGAGUUUUUAGAAAAUUUGCUAAGUCAUAUUAUAAAUUUAAUUAUAAAUGACGCAAAAUCAAUUUAGACGGAAUUUCUCAUCAUUGGCACUUAAAUGAUUGUUUUUUCCUCCGAUUUAGCACUUAUUUAAGUCAGCGAAAACUUUUGACACUAAAAUGAGCAUCGUAUAUAACUUUUGGCACUUCUAGUGUACUUAUCCUCUUUAGUUGGAUAUACUUAUUCCCCUUGUAGGCCAUAAGUUUGUGCUUUGGUAUUUGGAAGAUUGCUUUUCAUUGUCCUUUUGACGCUUGCUUUAACUAUUUGAAUCCACGGGAUAUGACUCUUCAAAUUUUCUGCAUCAAUAAUUUUUAGUGGGAACAAAUGUGGGUGAUGUCAUGAUAUGGGAAGUAGACAGUGGUGCAAGGAUUGCUGUGAGAAAAUUCAAGGUUUGGGAUAUGGGAACAUGUUCAAUGGCACUGCAGGUAUAGAAGUUCAAUUCUAAAUAAAAUAAUGGUGUCUUGUUUUUGGACAUGUGAUUAUGGGUUUUGAUUUUUUGUAGGCUUCUCUGGCCAAUGACUACACAACAUCCGUUAACCAUGUAAUGUGGAGUCCUGAUGGAAUCCUUUUCGGUAUGUAUAGAUGUUAGUUUUACUUCUAUAUCAACUUAAGUAAUUAGGCAAUACAUGCUUGCAAAUUGGUGAAAAAACUAAAGCGCCAAGAACUAGACUUCAUUGCAAUAUCUUCAAGAAGAAGAGUUCAUAUGCUACUACUACUGAUGAUUGGUGGUGUUCACUUUAGGUGUUGCUUAUUCCAAACACAUGGUGCACAUAUACUCACAUCAUGGUGGUGAUGACAUAAGGAAUCACCUUGAGGUUUGUUGCCAAACAAGGAGAAAAAAAUUAAGCUUCUCUGUUCUUGUGACAAUUGCCACCUAAAUGUGAGUUCAACUUGAUUUUUGACUCUAAUCUAAUGUCCGAUACAGCUCGAGGCUCAUGUUGGAAGUGUAAAUGAUCUUGCCUUUUCAUGUCCAAACAAACAAUUAUGUGUUGUGACCUGUGGAGAGGACAGGUUGAUCAAGGUAUAUUCUUAUUAUUUUCCUUAGUGUUACAAUGUUCCAUUGUUUGAUCCUUUUUAACCAAACUAGUAGUUAGGCAGGUAUGGGAUGCAGUGAGUGGGGCUAAGCAACUGACUUUCGAGGGUCAUGAAGCACCCGUAUAUUCCAUUUUUCCACACAACAGAGAAAAUAUUCAGGUACUUGGCUAUUUCGUGUACUAACAAGGACACGCUGCAAGCAUGGCCAAUCGGCUCUACGCUUGACCAUUCAUUGGACUUUGUUUGCUAAAACUCGGUUAGGUCAAAAAAUUUGGUUGAAUUUGUAUAAGAAGUGUGAAUCUAUGUUUUAAUGGACCUUGUUCAUUUCAAGGAUUUUGCAAGUCUUCUAACUUUUGACCUAUCUUGAUUAGAAUGUGCUUGUUAAACAUGGUGGCAUGGUUCAAAGAUUAAACUACAAAUUUGAUUAUUUUAGACAAUGCUACUAAGCAUCAACAAUUGGGUAAAAGUCUUCGCAAUAAUGACUUCCUUCUUGAUAUAAGUUCAGAAGGAAAUUUGCUCUGCUUCCAUUAUUGUUCUCCCUCAGUUUCUCCUCUAGUUUUGAUUGUUUAAAUUAAUAAUAGAUUGCUAUUUAUUGUGCCUGGGUGAAGCAGCAAUUGGGGAUGACUUUUUAAUUUUUUUCAAAAAAUUUAUGGUUGUGUACACUAUUAUAAAGAUAUUUUAUGAAAUCUAUUAGAGUUUUAGGUGGAUGUGCUCUAUCUAGACAUGUUAUUGAAAUUGAUGGUAGGAUUGUUUUAUUGUGUAGUUCAUCUUCUCAACAGCAACAGAUGGGAAAAUUAAGGCUUGGUUUUAUGACAACAUGGGGUCAAGAGUUGACUUUGAUGCACCGGGUCACUCUUUUACCAAGAUGGCAUACAGCGCUGAUGGAACAAGGUUUAGACUAUCAGCAUUGCAUUUCAAGCUUGAUUUUAUCCUAUGUCACCCUUUCUAACUUAGAUAACCUAUUUUAGCAAUUUUAUUUGGCUAUAGGUUGUUCUUAUGUGGAACCAACAAAGAAGGAGAGUCAUACUUGGUUGAAUGGAAUGAAAGUGAGGGGGCUAUCAAGCGUACCUAUCAUGGACUUGGAAAGAGAUCUAGUGGGUUCGUGCAGUUUGAUACUGCCAAAAAUAGAUUUUUGGCUGUUGGAGACGAGUCCAUGGUCAAAUUUUGGGAUAUGGACAAUAAUGAUAUUUUGACAAGUAUUGAUGCCGACAGUGAAUUGCCCGGUAAUUCAUUAUUGUUAAUUUAAUAUGAUUGAAUUAGCUGAACCUUUCCAUUAAACUCGCUCUUUAAAUUUGCAGGCUUCACCUUGUAUUAGAUUUAACAAGGAAGGAAUUCUAUUAGCAAUCUCAACAAGUGACAAUAGUAUCAAAAUUUUAGCAAAUGCUGAUGGGAUUAGCUUGCUAAGGACAAUGGACAAUUGGCCUUUUGAUGCUUCUAGAAUCACUCCUAGCCCUCUUAUGAAGGUAAGAUUUUUCAAGAGCACACUGACUUCAUAGAGAUGAGCUCACUAAAUGUCUUCAAUUUUGUAUUGCAACCAACAAUUGCGAUAUUUAGUUCUGGUAAUGCUACUAUUGGGGCAAACCAGGUAAUAGAGGGGUUCCAGUGGCAGAAUUAAAAUGUUUGAUCCCAUUUCUUGAUGUGCAUUUGGAAGAGAAGUCUAGAAAGAUAUUUUAAAAAAAAAAAUUGGUAGGAUUAUCUAAAGUUUUGUGUAGAAAAAUUAUUAAAAAUUAUCUCUACAGCAUGGCAGAGAUACUUGCCUUAAAAAUAUCUCUGACUCAAGCAAAGAUUUUUGCAUGUCUUAGUUGUUGAUGCAAGCCUAUAAAAAAGGCUUAGGGUCGUCCAAAAGCAAAUACAUUUGGGUCUCUAUUUUUUUAUUCUAAAAAUAGAUUUGAAAUAAAAUUGGUUUGCUAAUAUAAUUUUAUUUUUUAUUUCCCAAAAAAAAAAAUUUAGUUCAUAAAUAGACUUAGAAUAUAAAUAAUAAAUAUUUUUUUUUACAUUUCUAGAAUAAAAACAAAAAUAAAAACGUUUCUCUUUACUUGCCCGCGUCAUAUGCAACCAUCAUGUGCUAACCACCUGCCUCCCCGUCACUCUCCACCAAUUGAUAGUCGACACUUAGAAAUUAUUUUUGCUUCGUUUCUCUUUCAUGGAUUAAAAAUAGAAAAAUUUAUUUGUGACUAGAAUUUAGUUACAGAAACAAAAUAGUUGUCGUUCGUGCCAUAAUACACCAACUAAAAUAAACCUCCCUGCCUUCGUUUGUACUAUGCGUUGGAUAAUAAAAGCCUUUAUAUAUAUAUAUCAUUGUGCUCCCUUGCUGCCACUUUCAGAAAUCCUUGUCCUAUUAUAUUACAUCAGCAGCAACUGUGACUUGCGGAGCAUUUUUUUCCUCACAUCCAUCCAGUCAUAUUUUAACACAUCUCUGUGGAUUUUGAAUUAAAAAUAAAAUUCCUUUGAUGAUCCACCGGCUAUGGACCUCGGACUAGCCGGCUGCCACCCUUGAACACCACCGCUCUGGAGGCCGAGCUCCAAAUCUAGCCGAGUCGUGGCCUCGGCGCUGCACCAGAUCUAGUCCACCUUCACUUGCUUCAAGCUCGUCCAUGGCCGCCUCCGAAUCCAGUCGAGCUCGACUCUACGCUAGAUAUCGUCUGCCUUAAAAACGGUUCGAGCUCGGCGGCUCCUCCAUGACCGCCGAGAAGCCGCCGAGAUUUCGGUCACAACGUCGAGCUUGGCAGCCAUAGAAGGCCAUCGCCUCCAGAUGUAGAGGCUCAAUGGCAAUGGAGGCCGAGCGUCCAGAUCUGGCCGUGGCGAAGGUCGUGACAUCACCUCGAGCUGCAGCAAUGACCGCCGUUAGAGGUCGCCUUAAGAGACGGCGUUAAAAGUUGCAGACGGCCAUGGACAGAGCGCGUAACAAGAAAGGAGACAAAAAAAAAAAUAGAAAAUAUAAGAAGCAAAGAAUGGUGGGGAACAAUAAGAAAAAGAAACUUCUUUUCCAACUUUUCAACAGCAUCACGGGAUGAGCCACGCCGACGACCAUGGACGGCCAGAUCUCGAGAGCCAACAGUGUCGCCGGCCAUGGCGGAGCAAGGUUCGUGUGUGAUGCCGACGGCCAUGGACGGCCAAAUUUGGAGAGCCAGCGGCCUCACUCGUCUAGGUGACGCCCAUGGCCAUGGUCGGCCAGAUCUGAAGAGCCAGCAGCGUCACCGACGCAUCAUCGGCCAUGCCAGCUCGUCCGAGGUCAAGUGGCUGGCUUUGGACGAACGAGGAAGAUGAGGCUAGAGGAAACAGUUCCACCGCACAAAGAAACUCCACAUCAAUAUUUUUUAAUUUAAUUCAAGACAUGUAAAUUUUUAAGUAGAUAUCAAGGAAAAAAUCUCGCCACAUCAGCAGUUAACACGGCGCUUUGAAACUACCAAAUAUUGUCUCCUUUGCUCCUCGCACAUCUGCACGCACUGGCAUAUAAACUAGAAAACCAUCAGGCGGAAAUGGUAGGUAUGGGAAGUGGUAUCAUCACUGCAUUAGGUAGUUAAAUGUUUUUAACGAGCUUUAUUCGUUGCUUAUUUUAUUACUUAAAUGAUGCAAUAAUUGCAUUUGUGUGUGCAUGUUUAUUGGGCGUCUUUCAAUGACAUCCUCUCUUUUGAGCUCUACAGGACAGUGAGAGCAUGGCCGAUGUGAAGCCUGGAAUUGCUGAUAACUCAGGAGACAAAUUAAGAAAUUGGAAACCGACAGAAAUCAAUGAACCAUCACAAUGCCGGUCCAUAAGGCUGCCUGAUAACUCUACGGCUAUGAGGGUAAAUGAUUGCCAGAUUAGGACGUUCUUAUGCAGCAUUUUUAUUUCCACAUUAAUCUGUCAUGUUUCUACUCGAUAAGCACAAAUUUGAAUAGGGGUCACAUUUAAUGCACCUGCUUUAUUAGUUUUAUUCACAUGUAGUCCAAUGAUUUAUCUCUUAAACGUUGGCACUCAAGGACUUUUGACAUAUCUUCAUUUGGCAUUUUAUAGUUGACUGAUUGUUUCAACUAUACAAACAGGAAAGGAUAAGAUCAACAAUAAUAAAUCUGUGAUUAUGGUGUGGCAAUUAUGCUUGAGGCUGUGGAGGUCAUGAAUUUUAUGAUAAUGCUGAAUAGCAAGACGGAUGAUUCUUGAUUUAGAAUGUAAUGGUAUAUUUGCAUAACGAGACUUUUUUAGCCUUUGCUUGGUAUAUGGAUUGUUCUGUGGACUCUCAUGCAGUUACAUGUGGUAAAAGACACAGAUUCUUCACGGGAUAAAUUUGGCUUUAUACAUGGCAAGCAAAGUAAAUCAUCUUGCACCACUUUGAUGCUUGUGGGGGAUGCUAAGCUUUUGAAAGCUAUUUUGAACUUGUCAGUUCCCAGAAACUUUGAGUGGAAAUUUACCUGCUGAAUCUAAAUAUACAAAACACUAGAGGCAAAAGAAUAGAUAGACAGCUAGACGGUUUAAGUCAAGGUUCUAUUUUUCUUUUGGUAACUGUUUGAACUGGGUUUAGAUCUCAUGUGUAUCAUAUGCUCUAUUCAUACGUAAGCAUACAGUGCGUAUAUAUAAAUAUGUGCGUGCGCGCGUCCGCCUAUGCUGAUAAAUUUGCAGGCAGCGUCACCAAGUGUCUAUUUGCCUGGAUUUCUACAUCUAUCAAUUAGUGCCCAAUUCUCUGGCAUCUUUCUUCUGCAUUUUAUUUUAACUUUCGGUAUUACAUUUGAUUGUCGCCACUGAAGCUGGUAAAACGAUACAGGUCCCGAAAUUAAGCUAUACAAACUUGGGUCGUGCCAUUCUGGCAUUAUCAUCGAACGCUGUACACAAGCUCUGGAAAUGGGAAGAAAGUGAUCAAAACUUCACGGGCAGGGUAAGGAAUCUCCCCAACACCACCUCCCAAAAAAAGAGGCAAAUUCUUUUGUUGUUUAGCCUAUUGUUAACUCCAUUGAUUCUUCUUUUCGCAGGCUACAACCAGUGUAGUACCACAGUUAUGGCAACCGCUUGGUGGGAAUUUGAUGACCGAUGAUACAUGUGCAAAUCCUGAAGACGCAGUUCCGUGCUUUGCACUGUCAAAGGACGAUUGUUUUCUAAUAUCGGCAUCAGGGGGGGAGAUCUCUUUGAUCAAUAUGAUGAUUUUUCAGGUGAAUAUAUUCCCGAAGUAAUGUCUACAUCCUCUUGUCAGUUUUGUAGCACUAUCCACGAGGCACGAGAUAACGAACUACCCCUUUGUGCUGAAUAGGCGUGCACUAUUUCCUUUUCACAUUUUUAAGGGAGCUAAAAUUAAUUGGUUCCAUCACGUAUACAAACGUAUUGAGCUCUAAUUAUUAGGAGGUCCAUGAAAGCAAUUGCUCCGAUUUUCAUGGGGAUUAUCUGUUCAAAAGUACAGCAUGUCCCUUUUUACUUGCUAAGCAAGAUAGGGGCUUUUCUGUGUCUUCGAUGGAAUCUUUUUGCUCUUAUUGAUUAAAGAAAACAAGCAGUGCUUUUUUAACCCGUGCAGAGAUCUAUUGGUCCAACUUGCUCUCUCCCUUUCCUAAGAGGGGAGAUGCCACUAAGUUAAGUGCCUCUUGGCACAUGUGUCCCACUAUUAUGUAUAAAAUUGUUAAUAUUAUCCUGCCUGUUGAUACACAGAGGUUCACAAAAUUUACGCCCCCGCUACCACCAAACAGUGACAUUAUUGAAAUAGGAAUGGAGGACACCGCGAUUCAACUUUACAGUGGUCGAGUUGAUGAGGUGAGAUUUGUUUUCAUUGUCGUUGAAAGUUAACCUUGUGAUUAUUCACAACAAAGUUAUAGAUAUUGACUACUGACUAUCUCACUUUCUCAGAUCGAGAAAAAAUUAAAAGGACAUCGGAGAAUAAUUGAAGGCUUUACCUUCUCAACUUCCUUAAAUGUUCUCGUGUCUUCUAGUGCUGAUUCUCAGGUGACCACUGCCUUUUUACUUACUAAGUGAGACAAGGGCUUUUCUUUGUCUUCAAUGUAAUCUUUUUGCUCUUACUGAUUAAAUAAAACAAGGCAAGAGCUUUAAUCCAACAUUCCAGAAAUCUAAUAUGAAGUUGCUCUCUCCCUUUCUCUAGAAGGGUGAUGCCAUUGAGGCAAGUGCCUCUUGGCACAUAUGUCCCACUGUUACUUAUAAAGUUAUUGAUACUAUUCUGCCUGCCAAUAUCCAGAUGAUGAUAACAUUUUCGUCCCAUCCACCAUCCCCAACAUUUCUGGUGUUCGAUCCUCAAGAUAAUUCAACCAUUGCAAUAGGAAUGGAGGACGACUCUAUUCAAAUUUGUUGUAUUCCACUUUGCGAGGUGAGACCUAAUUAUAUUGUUGUUGAAAGUUAACCUUGUUAUUAUCCGCAAUGAAUAUAUGGAUAUUGACUGUUUCACUUUCUCAGUGGCUGGCAACUCUAAAAGGACAUCAGAAAAGAAUUACAGGCCUUGCCUUCUCUAAUGUCUUAAAUGUUCUCGUCUCUUCUGGUGCUGACUCUCAGGUACAAGACCACUGCCUCAUCUUCCUUUCCAUAUAGGCAUGCCUAUGUUUUGGGCAAAGAGAGCAAUGUAGUUUAACUUGCUCCAAAAAAAAAAAAAAAGGGUUGAUGUUCACUCUGUAUCUAUUGAUGCUUGCGCCCUCAUCAUAUGUAAGUUCAUGAAGGCAUCCUUAAAUAGGCAGAAUAAUUCCUUCCAAAAAACUUCUUUUGUGGUGACAAAUUAAUCCCAUCCCACAAGGUGGGAAAUAACAAAGCCAUGCUGUCCUGUUGUUGCGUACAACUGAUGCUCGGUGUUAUUCUGAUAUAAAACUACAACGUAAAAUUUUAUUGUUUCGUUCGUCAAUCAAUGUUGAUGUUCCUUAUGAUAAUUGUCGAUUGUCACUGCAGUUGUGUGUUUGGAACACUGGUAGAUGGACGAAGCAGACUAGUAAGUUUCUGCAGAUGCCGAAUGGGCGAGGAGCAGCGCCUCUUGCUGAUACUCGUGUUCAAUUUCAUGUGGAUCAAAUACAUCUGCUAGUUGUUCAUCAAACACAGAUCGCCACAUGUGAAGCUCCUAAACUAGAACGCCUCAAGCAGGUAUUGAAGAUUUUUUUUUUAUUGUGCAUGAUCCAAUCUCUCCUCUCAUCUUGAUUGCAUAAAAAUUAUCUAAAUAUUAGGUAGUAUGAGUUGCUUCAUGCCACAUGUACUUUUUUUGAUUCGUUGUUGAUCGCAACUAGUGGGACACUCGAGAAGCUAGUGCUCCAAUCACAGAUGCUACAUGCUACAUAUUCAUGCAAUGGCCAAUCAAUAUUUGUGAGCUUUGAAGAUGGGAGCAUCAGUGUUCUUUCUGCUUCUACACUCAGAUUGAUUUGUUGUAUUAAUCCUGCUGCUUACAUCCUUCCAAAACCUAGGUAAGUUGGUUAUUGCUGCUCACAUAACCUCAUUCCUUUAUGGAAAAUGGCAAGUCUCAUUUACGAAGUUCCAUAGUCUCGCGAAUUACUCAUUCCUCACUGAUGUAUUUGGCAGCUUGAGAGUCUACCCACUAGUCAUCACAGCACAUCCAUCGGAACCUAACCAGUUUGCGCUAGGGCUUACUGAUGGCAGCGUCUAUGUGCUUGAGCCUUUGGAAUCCGAAGGAGGGUGGGGUGGUUCUCCUCGUGUUGAAAAUGGUGUUGGCCCUAGCACGACCUCUGGCGCAACUGAUUUAGAUCAACCCCAAAGGUAGUGCAGGCCAUGUCUCUCCCUAUGAAACUUUUGAGCAUUACAAUGCUAAGCCGGCUUUCCUCUGCCAUACUUGAUUCAAGUUUUGAGGGGAUGCUGCUGAGGGUAGAUUUUACUGCCUCGGGGUACUUUCUUGCGACAUAGUUCAGUACGGUUUGUCCUAAUCGACUUCUGCUUGAGUCUUGUGGUGAUAACUUGUUUUGUUAUAUUCAUUUAGGCUGACUGGAAGUGAAAAAAGAAAAACUUGAGGUUGGAGUGUUGUUUUGAAUACAACAAAUUGGAGGUAGAGAGGAUACCUCACUUCCUACACAACUGAAAGUCUACGGACUUGAUUACAUUAGUUAGUUAACUAAUGCCUUUUCAGUAUCUAAACUUAAUUAAUUUUUAAACUAAGUGUCCAUGCAAUCUUUGACCAUUUUAUUAACCUAUGUUACUAAAUGACGUCCAUGUAUGAGUGCACAAUCAAUUAAAAAGUAAACAAUUACAAUCAAUAUGAUAGAAGUAAAUUAGAAGAAAGUAGACCCAAUGGAGUGUCAAGCAAAGAAUCACAUGGCUUUGUUAUUAAGCCUCUGGACAGCAACAUGUGCUGAAUUCAAAUUUAGUCCAAUUCAUCAGAAGAGUGCUAAACCUAAAUUAAAUUAAAGUUACUUAUCAAAAACCCCCCUAAACUAUAUGUAUACUAACUAAAGAAACUAAGCUAGAUCUAGCAUCACAAUUUAACGACCUUAUCAAGGUCUCUAUUUCUAGCUAUUUUCAAUUUUUCAUUUUUUAUGAAUAUUUUGAAAUUAAUUCUGAUCAUUUUCUGAAAAUAGGGACCCGAGCUCCGGCUAUGAGCCGCACGCUAGUCUCACGAAUCUGGGAUGAUAACUAAUAAGCACAAUUCGGGCUCUUAUGUUGAGCCCCCUCUAAUUUUAACUUUACUGAGCCCAAUUCUGAUUAUACCUAUUCUAAGCCCACUACCCAUCGUAACUACUCUAGCCCAUUUUCUCUUCCAACUUCACCUGGUCCAUUUUUAAGCCCGAUUUCUAUUAUAGAUAGAUGAAACCCUAAGCCCACUCUAAACCCAUCUCAUUAUUAUAUUUAAAUCAAUUUUGCUCUUUUCUUACAUCUUUUCGUCAUUAUUAUUAUUUUCUUCUUCCUUCUUCCAGGCCUUCGUCCUCUUGAACAAGUCAAGAAUCUAAUAAGCCAAUUUCUCACGGAUGAACUCCAUAGAGACUUCACAAAAACAUAUGUAAAAUUAUGAUAUGAAAACACAAGAAAAAUUUAUGUUCUGAUUUGGUAUUGAUAACAAUGAAUUUUAAUAGGAAUUAAAUCCGAAUGUUAAUGGACUGACUUGUAGCAAGUAAUGUAUGCUAAAAUUUCUUCAGAUUGAACUAGAUCAGGAAUUAUUUCACCGACGUACCUUAAAAACAUUUCAUUAGACAGUCUAUGUGCACCAAAAGGAUUGAUCCCGUUUGGUUCGGCUUUUGGGGGAAUGUCCUUGGGGAAAUACAAAUGUCUUUAGUCUAAAGGGGUUUGGCGAAAUGCAAAUACUAUUUUGGCAUUUAGAUAAGCCUUUUUUUUUCAUGAGGCAGAAUGCAUCUACUUCUAUUACAAGUGGGACAGGUGGGAUUUCACCCAUUGCAACUUAAGGUAAGUGAAGAAAAGGUUUCCUGUGGAAAACCUUUAGGCCUCCAACACCUAUUUUUACUUUAGUGACAAUAUUGAAUUGGAGAAGGGAAAAUCAGAUGAUACGUCCAUGUAUCUCUUCCCGUAAGAGCUUAUAUAAACUAAACAUAUUCAAGAUUAAUAAAAAAAUGACGCAACCUACAAGCAAUAAGACGCCUAAAAAUCCUUAGGCUCCGGAUAAGUAAAUUUUUGUCAUGAGCGUAACAGCUAUCAUCCAGUAACUGUUCUCUUACCAGAAGCCACAUGGUAUUACUGUUGUAGUUAUGUUCAUCCACAUGCUAUGAUAAACCUCGCUGGUGAAAGAGGACGAUCCAUUUCAAAUAAGAAAGAAAUAUAACCAUCUUCUUAUGCUACAUAAUCGUCAAUGUAACCAGAGCUACUGGCCUACAUACCCGCUAAAUCCCAUAUUGAAACUUAACCAAGAUUAAACCAUCCGACGAGAAAACAUUACAGCGAAAGCGACCUCAGAAUCCAUGUUGCGCCUCGACCUAAUAACAUGCUACGAUCUCUCACCAAAUUAGAACAUGCCACUCUAGCCAUAAGAUAUUCAAUUACUCACACAAAUUUCCACAGAAAUUGCAACAUUAAUUGAGAAAAUCUGACCUGGAUAGAAGCGAGCGCGAGCACGACAGGAAAGCUUGAGGGCAGCGAGCAUAAAGGAGUGAAGGAGUGUUGCGAGGAAGAGAACUCAAACCCCUGCCAACCAUGAGGGAACGUUGCUUCAAGCACGAAAGGGGAAGUCGUCAAGGUACGAGAAAGGCGAGUGAACGUGAGGGUCGGACACAAAACAAUCGUGAGGUAGAGAGAGGCGUGAGAGCGUAAGAAGAGUAAUGCCCGCGGCCCUCGCGAGUAAUCUCGUGCGGAAUCUUCAACGGCGACUGCAAAAUUGGACGAAUGAGCAAUGGAAUUGAAGUUUCCAAGCUUACCCAAUUGCCCUGCUACGAGCGCGACGCGAGCGUGAGAGCAGAACGGCGAGAGGCGAUCUUCGAGGUUGGGAUGGCUGAUCUCGGAUGGACACCGGAGAGCAGCUCGCAUAGGAGACGGUGAGGGACGACGGAGAGAGGCGCGAGAGUGUAGAGGAGGCGUAAGGCUAUAGAAAGCGUGAGGCUACAGUAAGGAAAACGAGGCUUAGGUUUUUCUAUUUAGAAAAGGGUAAAAACGGAUUUUGGUUAAUAAAUGUGGACAAAAUGAGCAACUAACAUAUUUUCAUUAAACAAAGGAAGUUGCAUUCCGAAAAUGCUACUUUUUAAAUGCACCUCUACCCCUCCAUUCCCCCAAAGGCCUUUGAAGCCCUUUGGAGAUGCAAUUGCAUCUUCCCAAAGUUCUCAAAAAAUUGAACCAAACAUCACCUGCAUUUAUCCAAACCCCUUCAGAGCCCCAAAGCCCAUUCCAAAUGCUGAACCAAACGGGGCCUGAAUCUGGUCAUAAAUCGAAGUUUUGUUUUCGUCUAAAAUUAGUGUCAGAACCAUGAAGCCAUUACAAAUCAUCAAAUUACAGCCUAGAUCAUCAGUGAUUUUCACAUUAGUAAGCCGAACGUGGUCCAGUCAUGCAUCUUUCCAAAAUAGGGCAAGAAAGAGGGGAAUGAAAUUAUCUUCUCAAGGAGUUCUCGGUUGAGAACUAAGGGCUAAUGAACAAACUAAGGGCUAGAAAUGGUUUAGUUUCUGGGCAUUUAUGCGUCCGAGUAAUGCAAGUUGGACUUAAUAGAUGUGGAUGGGCCAUGGGCUUGGCUUGGACGAAUUGGAUCGAGCCCAUCGCAUUGAAUGGACAUCCUUUAAAAUUAGUUGAUGAAUUGAAGUCUCUUCAGUUAUUAUUUUUCGCAAUCUUCAUUUUGGUUUUAUUUAUUCAUAUCUUUGACAUAAACCGCCUAAAUUGCCGAUUUUCCUUAAAUUGUUGACUAAAAAUCAAAUAUCCACAGCAGGUCCAAGACCUCCAAAUUGACUGAACCAGUUUCUUGAAAGUUGUUGUAAUCUUGAAGGUGCUACAAUUGAGAAAUGUUCGACAAACCCCUCACAGAAGCCACAAUGCCCAUUUUUCAUAGUCCAAGUAACUCCUAACAUUAAUUAUUGAUACUCUUUUCAAAAUAAUUCAUAUAUUUUUAGACAGUCAUAAUAUGAACGAUUUUUUUUAGCAUUUUCUAUAAGAGUCGAAUUGUUAAUUCGAAACUUUCACGCAAAGAAUUAUAUGGUAAAGUACUUAUUAGAGUUAUAAUAAGUCAGAAUAUAACAAAAUGUCAAUCGAAGUGCUUAAUCAUGAAAGAGAAGAAGCGAUACCAAUAUCAAAAACCAAAGAGCUGUUGGCAGAAUCAAAAUUUCCUUCUCUCCUGUUAGUGUAUAUUUAGUUCCGAAAAGAAUAAAUAUAAAUGUAUGUUUAUUUUGUCACAUAGUAAGUAUUACUUUCAAGAGUGCUUUGAUUUGAUAGGUGGAACCAUAACAACUAAACUGGGUAAGGUCUUUCUUUAAUUUUCGUCGUACCUGACAUUGAGAAAUGCUGUGGACAGUAGCUCUCCAUCCUUACGAUGAAUGUCAAUACAACGAAAAUAAUUAACCACUUUUAAGCCAUUCUCAAUUACUUGCAAGCAUCUGCACACAAAGUGAAACCUGCUUAUUUCCGUCUUCGACUGGGCUUCUUACUCUUUCUAGCUGGGGUCGACUGCUCCUAAGGCACUGGUAAUAGGGUUCCUCCUGUAACGCCAUCUUUAUCAUUCAUCUUGUCAAAAGUUUUCUGGGCGCCAAUAUACACCUUAAGGUCUCUGAUCUGUGAAGGAUGACGAGGGACAUGCCACUGUCAACGCACACUAUGCACGCACGCGCAGAGUUUUCACAAUAUUAUAUACAAAUUAUUACAGUUUUAAGGCUAAAAGAAAAUAACUGUUCUUCUAAGUCAAGUAUUUGUUCAUCCUUCAACUUCAGUGACAGAGUUUUCCUGCAGAUGCACAGAAGCGCAUGUGUCCUCCAUUCAUGUCAAAUUAAUAGGGAAGACUAAAUUCCUGACAGCUUUAAUUGACUGGAAUCAUAUACUGAAAAAGUGUCGGUACAAUUGACAAUAAUACUUAUUGAGGAAACUAGCCCACGUAACUUCAAUGAAGAUGGACAAGACGAGUAUACUUCAAAACGCUGCAUGAAUUUCUCUAUAAAGAAAAUGUUGUAGGCAUAUUAAGGUACUUAAAAGGCAUCUACACCUAUAUUGCUUGACAUGUGAAGCUCAUAUAAGCUUUAAGUCUACCCAGUGUAUCUUCUUUUCCUUUUAUUUUCUAUUUUGUGAAAGUUGGAAAUGUCAACAUAACGCAGUAUGAACAACCAAUCGAAUUUCAAUUGGAAUUAGUAGAAUUUCAAUAUUGAACCGUAUCAAUUAAAAUUUGAAUCCUGAACCAUCACAUCCUGAACCAUCACAAAAUAAUGUUCAAAUAUCUCCAGUGUGUAAAAAAGUACUUUGAAAUUGGACCACCACCACGAAGAUUUUAACAUUGAUUUCUGUCGAUAAAGUUCAACCUCUAAAGCAGUAGCACUAUUUCUUCAGAGGAAAACAAAAUUACAGAUGGAGCAUAUAUAAACAAAAGAACAAAAUUAUGGAGAGCACUGACACGUGGAACUUUCUCAAUACGUGCUGCGUUCUCUCCUUUCUCCUUUUCCCCUUUUUGUCUCUUUCUUUCCCUCGUUAGAGUUUGUCCCAUCUUGCCACUUUUUAAAAAGAAUUCAAUAAAUAAAUAAAAAACACCAAAAGCUUUUUCAUCUCCUUGCCACAUCCUCCAACUAAUAAUUAACUCAAACUUAAUUAUCCUUCCCAAGUAUGGUGAAAGGAAGGCAUAUUAACCGUGUGAUAAACUCUGACUCAUCAUAAAAUGACUUUCGUUCUUUUGCCAUUUGUUAUGUGUCACAAGUCACGUAUAGUUGCUAUUCACAUAUUUGAAUUAGAAACUGUAUUUCCUCUUUCUUCCUCGAACUUUAACCUUUUUUACCUCACAUCUAAAAGUCCAUGCCAUGUGAACACUUCCUCGUCAUGAUACCCUUCCCACUUUUUUCUCAUCUUCUCAAAUGUCUGUUUCCACUUCCUCUCUGACGACCAACCUCACUUACAUGAACUAUUACUACAAUGCUGCUUCAUUUUACUGAUUAGUUUUAUGAGACUAUGCAUGCUAUGGUAUUACUUGUCUAGAGAAAUCAGCAACGAAAAAUACCUCUCUUCAAUUUCCUUAACCUUUCUCCGCAUCAUAUCUUGGUUCUUGAUAAGAGUUUGAUUAAGCUGCAACCACAAGGAACGGCAUCCAUUACUGGUAUGAACGAGUGAAAACUAUUGCAUCUGAUUGUAAUAUGAAAAAUGAGGCAUGUGAAAAACAAGAACAAUCAGCCUUGGCUUCAGUCAGCCCUCCUCUCAAACUUUAAACAUCCAAAAUCACAAAAGGUAAAACAGAGAAGAUUAAAGCCUUACCUCUGCCAUGGCCUUCUUUUCGUCACCAAGUUUCCCCAACUUACUAUGGAUCUCUUCAAUCUUUGCAGUCACACCUUUCUUGAUUGCUUCUAGUUUGGAAUUUUCUUUUCUACUUUUGGCUUCUAACAUGAGAGACUCAUAAUGCUAACAGAGAAAAACAAAAGAACUAAUAGGGGAUGAUAUGUUCAAGGACUUAAAAUGUAUUCUUUAAAGUCAGUCUAAGGAUGAUGGCAGUCUAUGUAACAAAAAUGACAAACAUGGGUUAGAAACGGAACACUAUCACCAACAGCAGCAUGGGCAGUUUAUAUAUAAUCUACUGGCUUUUGUACUUCUACUUCUGAUACAACAGGUUUUCAAUUCAGAUACUGUUCCUUCUAGGACUAUCCAUAAAAAAAAAGCCAAUAAUAAAAGAGUCCUGGCACCUUAGGGAAACGCAAUUCAUUUUCUACCACAGAUAUAUUAGUAAGAAAACAAAAAAGAAAAGAAGAAUACCAGAAGUUUUGCAAUUCUCUCAAGCUGAUGCAAGGCCACUAGUUCUUUUAUACUUCCUAUAUAAGCUCAUUAGACAAAUGCAGUAUGCAAAUCGACAGGUAUAAAAUGUUGUACACUAUAUAAAAGCAAAUGAAGCUGAGAUCAUACAACACGAGUGUAAUUACUUUCCUUCUCUUCACAACAAUUCUGACAAUCCCAUUGAUUUCCAAGAGUAAAAUGAGUUCACUUAAGGAAAAAAAAAAAAGAGAAAGAAAAAAGAAAAUUGAGAAACAUUUUUUGAUCUGAAAUAACUAAACUAAUGUUCUAUUAUGGUUUUCUCCUAAAAUAUGUGUACUUAAAAACCAUUACCUAAAGCAAAAGCACAAUCAACGCAAGCUUUCACAAGUAAUGCUUAUAACCAUGGCUGAUCAGUCAGUAUAAUAAAAUGCGAAAGACUAAACAUGGAGAAUUGAAAUGGUCUUGGUAUACGCAUGCUUACUUUUCUUUGCACUUCCAGCUGAUUUGAAGCUAGAUGAAUAUAGUCAGCGUGAAUCUACAAAAAAGUAAAGCUACAGUGUCAGAGAAAAUGAAGAAAGUCUGACAAUUAUAAUGGAGGUAAUAUCCACUUUGCAGGCCCAAUAAUGAACUUGUGACAUUUGGCCAACAAAAUGAACAUGUGAAGUACAAAAACGGAAACCGAAUCUUUCAUUGUCAGUUGUCAGCACCUAAAACAGUAAAAGCAUCAUGCACCUCUAAACUUCAAACAUUCCACUUAACUGAGUCCAAGCUCCAAAUCUUUGCAGGGAAAGGAGAACCAGAAAACAAAAAUAUUCAAAGCAUAAAAAUAAGGACACAUGAACCUACUUCUUCGAUUUUGCUGCUGAAGAGCGCCCCACUAAUUUCAGAAUCCUCGCUGCAACCGCAGCUACCACAAUCUCCUUCAAGUGAUUCACAGUAUGAAUUCAUCUCCAAAAGCUUGCCAUCAGUUUUUGAUUUAUUAAGCCGGUGAACAUAAGUGUCCCCAACAUAAUCCCAAAUUUGCUGUGUUCUUAAAUCCAGAGAAUAGCAAUGUUGUGUAUCUUUCCAAUGGCUGAUGGCAUGCUUAUCUCUGUAUCUACAAAGCCAGAAAAGAAAAGCUAUAAUGAAGACAGCCUAUCCAAUCACUAAAACUAUAGAGUGAGCGAAGAUUCCAGCAUAUCAUGACUGAAUCUAUCACUUUCCACAUCCAACAAAACCACAUAUCAGACAAACCCAAAGAUUUUCCAUUGUUCCACAAAUAAAGCACCAUGGCACCUCAUCUUGCUGUUGGCAUAGACGGCAAACCUGAUAAAGAACAGAAACAGAAUCUUCUUCACAAUCUGUUAACAGACGGGCAUCCCUGAUGAUGUUGCAAAAUGAAACUACAUUUCCGAUCAAGGUAGUUUCUUGCAACCAAAUCAAGAUAUGUGCCGUAANNNNNNNNNNNNNNNNNNNNNNNNNNNNNNNNNNNNNNNNNNNNNNNNNNNNNNNNNNNNNNNNNNNNNNNNNNNNNNNNNNNNNNNNNNNNNNNNNNNNUCUUAGCUUCAGGACAGGAAUGUUUUGAGGUCAAAGAUCAGAAUUUUGAUGUCAGUAUGAUCACCCUGUACUUGUGAACAUACGCAUAACUUAUCGUGCAUGCUUGGCCACUGCUAUUACUUCUGUCACUCUUUGACUCAUGAGAAAUUUGAGAUAAGAGUGACAGGACCAUCGGAUUAAACACACGUGAUGAGACAUUGCAAAAAUUCUUGCGUCAGAACAUGAUAAUCAACAAAAAGUAACUCCAAGAAGCCAUACCAUUGACCUAUUCCAAAUCUCCAAAUAAAUGUCAUGAUAAUUUAAAAGAAAUCCUGAACUUAGUAAGCACAAUAGAGUAAAGGAAAAUUCUACUUUUCAUUCAUAUACUUUCACGCUUUUCUAAUCAUGUCUAUACUUUUAAUUUGCCUAAUUUAGUCCAUCUACUUUAACAAACUUUCCAAUCAAGUCUUUUGGACACUAAAAUAUGACCAAAUUCAACUGAAGUGGCUGUUCGAUGAUGACGAUAAAAUAUGCAGAUGCCCACAUGGACACGUCUGGAAAAAUUUAGCCAAUGUAGAUAACCUCGAAGUGCAACAUGGAUAAAAUAAUGGACAUCCGAGUCACACAACAGAGACAUCUGACGGUCACACCGGCUGAAUUUGGCCUGAUUUGGUGUCAGAGACAUUUGAUUAGAAAAUCUGUAAAAGUAGAAGGACUUUAUUUAACAAAUUAAAAGUACAAGGGACUUGAUUAGAAAAUAUGUGAAAGUUCAGGAUUAAAACAAUACUGCCACAAUUGCUAUAGCUAAUAUUAAUUAUCAAAAAGCAACAACUAAUCCACAGUCAGCAGAUCAACAGAAAGAUAGUGGCAGUAGCUGCGAAAUUACAUUAUAAAUUCAUCUAAUCUGUAGCAGCAGAAGAAUGUCUAACCUGACAAGACAAGUAAGUCCAUUUUGUACCACAUGAGCAAUGAAAGGAAUGGUCACACUGCAUACUCAAAAUUCCGCUGGUAUCUGGGUCCAAUCUCUCUGACAUCAAAAGAAAAAAAGUUGCAAUUGUAAACAGCUUUCUAUAAACUCAUCUCACCGCAAGGGAAAUAUAAUCAGCAAGGGAGUACAGGCAUGGCCUACCAAGACAAACUGGNNNNNNNNNNNNNNNNNNNNNNNNNNNNNNNNNNNNNNNNNNNNNNNNNNNNNNNNNNNNNNNNNNNNNNNNNNNNNNNNNNNNNNNNNNNNNNNNNNNNNNNNNNNNNNNNNNNNNNNNNNNNNNNNAAGACUGUGUGAUCUCACAGCAAACAACAGGUGCAAAAAUUGCAAAUACCUCAGCAGGCGAGAAAUUCUUGCCAUUGAAGGUGCAUUAGAAACCAUCGGCAGCCUUUUGAUCGAUAAGCUCAAUCAGCACGCUGUACCUAUCUUCCAUCCCAUCAUUCCUACAUCAAACCCACAAUUCGCAACACAAUGAUCACUAAAACUACUAAAAAGCAUUUACAAAAGAAACCAGACCGGAAAACCCAGUUCCACCGUCGGAAUGCUUCCAAAAAAUUGAACUUUCAUCAUCGGACACCCCCUAAGGCAUGAUCACGAGCAAAUUUUCAGUAAUCGAGUCCAUCUCUUAGAUUUUCGUCAGCGAAUUCUAAUUCUUCGAAUUCUCCCUUUCGCUUACCCAAUUCAUCUCACCAACUGAAAAAACAGGUCCGAAGUCCCGAAGAAGAGGAGGAGAGAAAACAGAAACGAUCGAAGCCUUACCUGAUGAACCGGAGCUCGGAGACGUCGUCGAUCCGGGGGCCGCAGAACCGGAUGAAGUCGUCGGGGGAAAAGUAAUUGGGGACGGCGACGACGAAGAGGGUGGUGGAGCGGGCACCGGGGCUCGAGAGGGGCGCGUGCGACAGCGUCCGGAACAGGUGGACCAUGCCCCUCCGCUCGGCGAACCUAGCGAUCUCCGGCGGCGGCGGCGAGGAGGAGGAGAAGCCGCCGUAGUCGGUGGCGAGGGGGUGGUCGGUGUCCACCGAGUGGACCCGGAGGAAGAACAUCUUUUACCCUUCGGACUGAGUUGAAUCGCCCGAGUUGGAGAAGAUUGCUGGAUUGCGGAGCAGAGAGAAGAAACUCGCGGGAACUAAGAGGAGGAUUGGGCACGCCUUCUUCCUGGAAUUAUAACGGUUGCUACUUUCCACCCAAAAAAAAAAACUAAUUGGUGCAAAAUGAAUAAUUUAUUGUCUAAUACGACUAACUUAAUUUCAAUAAUUAUUUAGGAGAGAUUUAAAAAGAAUUGGGUAUUCCUUGUUGAGUUGAGAUUUACACAAUAGACAUUUUUUAUUCAUUUCGGGUGUUCGAAAUAAUUAAAAAAAUUAAAUUUGAAAUUGAUCAAAUUACUUUUUGAUUGAACAAAUUCAGAAUUAUGUGAAUUAUGGUAAGAAGUAUGUUAUGUGAUUGCUUAUGAACGAAAUAAUUUUGUAAUCAUCUCAUUCUCAUUUAUUAUCAAAAUGAUGAUGCAUCCGAAUUAAAAUUGGUAAUAAAUUCUACCGACAUUGGAAAAGCAAAGAAAUGAUAAAGGCCUAAACUGAACUAGUCGUGGAUUCUAUUUCUUUUGCUUCGUCUGACAAACAAAACAUGACGACAAAGGCUAGAAUACUCCUAGAUAUACUAAAACUGAAAUGCAAGGGCAGUCAAGUGUCUAUUUGGCAUAAAAAUUGCUAUCACAGGUGAUUAUUAUGCGGGCCUAGUUUGGACCAACAUCAAGACUAAAUUGUUGCUCAAGCUCGUUCAUAAAAUGAAUCAUAUAUAGAAAUGUUGGGGCACGGCUCAGGCGAAGGUCGGGCAAGCUAGGAUUUUUUAACGUAAGGAUAUUUUCUAGUCUCAGGGUCAUGUCUCUGAUUGUGAUGUUGCAGAGGGUAGAUUUUAUAGUCUCGGGGUCUUCCUCCUGACAUAGUUUGGCACAAUUUUUUCUUUAAGUGGUACAGUUAGCAUCCUUAUCAACUUGUAGAUCUUACAACCUCAGGGCCUUCUUCUAGACAUAGUUUGGCACCAUCUAUUUUAAGUGGUACAAUUAGCAUCCUAAUGGACUCAUGCUCAAGUCUAGCGGUGAUAAUUUGUUUUAUUAUAUUUAUUUAGGCUGACUGAAAGUGAAAAAGAAGAACAUGAGAUUAGGGUGAUGCGUGGAAAGCGUUGUCUAUGCGAGUUGGAGACAGGUUUAUCUGAUUUUAGUUAGCAAGCUAAAGGAUCAUAGGAACAGGGUUUAGUUUUCGCAGGUGGCUUCUUUUCUUGUUCCUUCUGCGUCAUGCUGAAAGUACUUUUCUUAUGUUUUUUUAUUUAUUCUUUUUAAUUUGCUGAAGUAGCAUUUGUUAGCACUUAGCAGGUUCUAUUUUCUUGUUCUUUUGCCACAAAAAAAAAUAAUAUGAAUUAAUUAAAAAAUCAUCUUCUUCUUGUGUUCCUAUUAUGAACGCGAUUUGAGCGCAACAACACUCAGACCUUGGAUGAAAGUCAAUACUUCGCCAUGGUCUACCUCGACAUUUUGCUUAUUGGACUGCAUUCUUUGGGAAUCAAGUUCCAUCUUUUUUAGGAUGAUAGUCUUUAACUGCAGUCGGUAAACACUAUAUUGUCGGGGACACAAGUCGGUUAUUUCUCCAGUUUUUACAGUUGACAGAGUUGAUUUUUUCAUUUGCAAAUGGACACAGAGCAGGUAGGAGCAUGACACCGAGCCUCUUUUGAUCUCAUCUAUAUUCCUAUCACCCUUCCCUUACUACGCUAUCAGCCACCAAAGAGUACUUUCUCUCAGCACAUGAGCCUAAUGGUAGGUGAUGGGAAAGUAGCCGAGAAUUGAAAAAAAGUAUUUACUUUCUCAUACGUGAAUUGUAUGAUUACAGCCCUAUNNNNNNNNNNNNNNNNNNNNNNNNNNNNNNNNNNNNNNNNNNNNNNNNNNNNNNNNNNNNNNNNNNNNNNNNNNNNNNNNNNNNNNNNNNNNNNNNNNNNNNNNNNNNNNNNNNNNNNNNNNNNNNNNNNNNNNNNNNNNNNNNNNNNNNNNNNNNNNNNNNNNNNNNNNNNNNNNNNNNNNNNNNNNNNNNNNNNNNNNNNNNNNNNNNNNNNNNNNNNNNNNNNNNNNNNNNNNNNNNNNNNNNNNNNNNNNNNNNNNNNNNNNNNNNNNNNNNNNNNNNNNNNNNNNNNNNNNNNNNNNNNNNNNNNNNNNNNNNNNNNNNNNNNNNNNNNNNNNNNNNNNNNNNNNNNNNNNNNNNNNNNNNNNNNNNNNNNNNNNNNNNNNNNNNNNNNNNNNNNNNNNNNNNNNNNNNNNNNNNNNNNNNNNNNNNNNNNNNNNNNNNNNNNNNNNNNNNNNNNNNNNNNNNNNNNNNNNNNNNNNNNNNNNNNNNNNNNNNNNNNNNNNNNNNNNNNNNNNNNNNNNNNNNNNNNNNNNNNNNNNNNNNNNNNNNNNNNNNNNNNNNNNNNNNNNNNNNNNNNNNNNNNNNNNNNNNNNNNNNNNNNNNNNNNNNNNNNNNNNNNNNNNNNNNNNNNNNNNNNNNNNNNNNNNNNNNNNNNNNNNNNNNNNNNNNNNNNNNNNNNNNNNNNNNNNNNNNNNNNNNNNNNNNNNNNNNNNNNNNNNNNNNNNNNNNNNNNNNNNNNNNNNNNNNNNNNNNNNNNNNNNNNNNNNNNNNNNNNNNNNNNNNNNNNNNNNNNNNNNNNNNNNNNNNNNNNNNNNNNNNNNNNNNNNNNNNNNNNNNNNNNNNNNNNNNNNNNNNNNNNNNNNNNNNNNNNNNNNNNNNNNNNNNNNNNNNNNNNNNNNNNNNNNNNNNNNNNNNNNNNNNNNNNNNNNNNNNNNNNNNNNNNNNNNNNNNNNNNNNNNNNNNNNNNNNNNNNNNNNNNNNNNNNNNNNNNNNNNNNNNNNNNNNNNNNNNNNNNNNNNNNNNNNNNNNNNNNNNNNNNNNNNNNNNNNNNNNNNNNNNNNNNNNNNNNNNNNNNNNNNNNNNNNNNNNNNNNNNNNNNNNNNNNNNNNNNNNNNNNNNNNNNNNNNNNNNNNNNNNNNNNNNNNNNNNNNNNNNNNNNNNNNNNNNNNNNNNNNNNNNNNNNNNNNNNNNNNNNNNNNNNNNNNNNNNNNNNNNNNNNNNNNNNNNNNNNNNNNNNNNNNNNNNNNNNNNNNNNNNNNNNNNNNNNNNNNNNNNNNNNNNNNNNNNNNNNNNNNNNNNNNNNNNNNNNNNNNNNNNNNNNNNNNNNNNNNNNNNNNNNNNNNNNNNNNNNNNNNNNNNNNNNNNNNNNNNNNNNNNNNNNNNNNNNNNNNNNNNNNNNNNNNNNNNNNNNNNNNNNNNNNNNNNNNNNNNNNNNNNNNNNNNNNNNNNNNNNNNNNNNNNNNNNNNNNNNNNNNNNNNNNNNNNNNNNNNNNNNNNNNNNNNNNNNNNNNNNNNNNNNNNNNNNNNNNNNNNNNNNNNNNNNNNNNNNNNNNNNNNNNNNNNNNNNNNNNNNNNNNNNNNNNNNNNNNNNNNNNNNNNNNNNNNNNNNNNNNNNNNNNNNNUCUCUAGAUUUCGUCAGCGAAUUCUAAUUCUUCGAAUUCUCCCUUUCGCUUACCCAAUUCAUCUCACCAACUGAAAAAACAGGUCCGAAGUCCCGAAGAAGAGGAGGAGAGAAAACAGAAACGAUCGAAGCCUUACCUGAUGAACCGGAGCUCGGAGACGUCGUCGAUCCGGGGGCCGCAGAACCGGAUGAAGUCGUCGGGGGAAAAGUAAUUGGGGACGGCGACGACGAAGAGGGUGGUGGAGCGGGCACCGGGGCUCGAGAGGGGCGCGUGCGACAGCGUCCGGAACAGGUGGACCAUGCCCCUCCGCUCGGCGAACCUAGCGAUCUCCGGCGGCGGCGGCGAGGAGGAGGAGAAGCCGCCGUAGUCGGUGGCGAGGGGGUGGUCGGUGUCCACCGAGUGGACCCGGAGGAAGAACAUCUUUUACCCUUCGGACUGAGUUGAAUCGCCCGAGUUGGAGAAGAUUGCUGGAUUGCGGAGCAGAGAGAAGAAACUCGCGGGAACUAAGAGGAGGAUUGGGCACGCCUUCUUCCUGGAAUUAUAACGGUUGCUACUUUCCACCCAAAAAAAAAAACUAAUUGGUGCAAAAUGAAUAAUUUAUUGUCUAAUACGACUAACUUAAUUUCAAUAAUUAUUUAGGAGAGAUUUAAAAAGAAUUGGGUAUUCCUUGUUGAGUUGAGAUUUACACAAUAGACAUUUUUUAUUCAUUUCGGGUGUUCGAAAUAAUUAAAAAAAUUAAAUUUGAAAUUGAUCAAAUUACUUUUUGAUUGAACAAAUUCAGAAUUAUGUGAAUUAUGGUAAGAAGUAUGUUAUGUGAUUGCUUAUGAACGAAAUAAUUUUGUAAUCAUCUCAUUCUCAUUUAUUAUCAAAAUGAUGAUGCAUCCGAAUUAAAAUUGGUAAUAAAUUCUACCGACAUUGGAAAAGCAAAGAAAUGAUAAAGGCCUAAACUGAACUAGUCGUGGAUUCUAUUUCUUUUGCUUCGUCUGACAAACAAAACAUGACGACAAAGGCUAGAAUACUCCUAGAUAUACUAAAACUGAAAUGCAAGGGCAGUCAAGUGUCUAUUUGGCAUAAAAAUUGCUAUCACAGGUGAUUAUUAUGCGGGCCUAGUUUGGACCAACAUCAAGACUAAAUUGUUGCUCAAGCUCGUUCAUAAAAUGAAUCAUAUAUAGAAAUGUUGGGGCACGGCUCAGGCGAAGGUCGGGCAAGCUAGGAUUUUUUAACGUAAGGAUAUUUUCUAGUCUCAGGGUCAUGUCUCUGAUUGUGAUGUUGCAGAGGGUAGAUUUUAUAGUCUCGGGGUCUUCCUCCUGACAUAGUUUGGCACAAUUUUUUCUUUAAGUGGUACAGUUAGCAUCCUUAUCAACUUGUAGAUCUUACAACCUCAGGGCCUUCUUCUAGACAUAGUUUGGCACCAUCUAUUUUAAGUGGUACAAUUAGCAUCCUAAUGGACUCAUGCUCAAGUCUAGCGGUGAUAAUUUGUUUUAUUAUAUUUAUUUAGGCUGACUGAAAGUGAAAAAGAAGAACAUGAGAUUAGGGUGAUGCGUGGAAAGCGUUGUCUAUGCGAGUUGGAGACAGGUUUAUCUGAUUUUAGUUAGCAAGCUAAAGGAUCAUAGGAACAGGGUUUAGUUUUCGCAGGUGGCUUCUUUUCUUGUUCCUUCUGCGUCAUGCUGAAAGUACUUUUCUUAUGUUUUUUUAUUUAUUCUUUUUAAUUUGCUGAAGUAGCAUUUGUUAGCACUUAGCAGGUUCUAUUUUCUUGUUCUUUUGCCACAAAAAAAAAUAAUAUGAAUUAAUUAAAAAAUCAUCUUCUUCUUGUGUUCCUAUUAUGAACGCGAUUUGAGCGCAACAACACUCAGACCUUGGAUGAAAGUCAAUACUUCGCCAUGGUCUACCUCGACAUUUUGCUUAUUGGACUGCAUUCUUUGGGAAUCAAGUUCCAUCUUUUUUAGGAUGAUAGUCUUUAACUGCAGUCGGUAAACACUAUAUUGUCGGGGACACAAGUCGGUUAUUUCUCCAGUUUUUACAGUUGACAGAGUUGAUUUUUUCAUUUGCAAAUGGACACAGAGCAGGUAGGAGCAUGACACCGAGCCUCUUUUGAUCUCAUCUAUAUUCCUAUCACCCUUCCCUUACUACGCUAUCAGCCACCAAAGAGUACUUUCUCUCAGCACAUGAGCCUAAUGGUAGGUGAUGGGAAAGUAGCCGAGAAUUGAAAAAAAGUAUUUACUUUCUCAUACGUGAAUUGUAUGAUUACAGCCCUAUUUGUAAUGUGUAAGCCCUAUCUAAUCAAAGAAAGAAAUAUACAAAAGGAAGGGAAAUAUCUUUUUUCCAAAAUAUACAAUAUUCUAAUCUCCUCUAAAUGAACCAAUUAGCAUCAAUUAAAAUCAAUUACAGCAACGGUAUCUUCAACACUCCCCCUCAAGCCGGUGGUCUAUACACAUCAAAGACACCAAGCUUGCUCAAUAGAUACGUAUGUUGCCUUUGACACGGGGGCUUAGUAAAAAUAUCUGCAGGCUGUUCUGUUGUUCUUAUCCCUCUUGUCUUGAUUACUCCAGUUUGAAUUUUGUCUCUAAUGAAGUGACAAUCAACCUCUAUAUGUUUCGUUCUUUCAUGAAAAACUGGAUUUACUGCAAGUUUGAGCGCAGCAUCAUUGUCACAAAAUAGGACAGUUGGCUCUUUCACCCAUACACCAAGAUCUUAGAGCAAGCCUCUUAUCCAGACUAUCUCACAGCUAGUUUUCGCCAUUGCCCGGUAUUCAGUUUCAGCGGAUGAUAACGAUACAGUUGAUUGUUUCUUUGUUUUCCAUGAGAGCAAUGAAUCUCCCAAUUUUAUGCAAAACCCUGUAACUGAUUUUCUACUCAUAGGGCAAGUAGCAUAGUCUGUGUCACAGAAGGCUGUCAUUUCCAUGUUGUUGUUUCGAGACAAUAGUAUUCCUAAACCUGGACAUCCUUUCAAAUACUUCACGACCUUCAGUGCAGCAUUCAUGUGAGAUUGUUUUGGAUCAUGCAUAAACUGACUGAGAAUUUGUACUGCAUAACAUAUGUCCGGUCUAGUCAUUGUGAGAUAGAUAAGCUUCCCGACAAGCCUCUGAUAGAUGGAAGGAUCUUUGAGCAAAAGAUCCUCAUUUAGGGGUGAUAGUCCCUUAUCAUACUCAGCCGUUGUUAAUUUGAUAUUUUGUUCAACUGGAAUUACAGCUGGCUUGGAUCCUGAUAAUCCUGCUUCUGAGAUGAUUUCCAGAACAAACUUGCGUUGAUUGAGGCAAAUUCCCUUAUAUGAUCGCGCAAUCUCUAUUCCAAGAAAAUAUUUGGGAGGUCCCAAAUCCUUAAUAUGGAAUGUGGAGUGUAGGUACCCUUUAAAUUUCUCAAUGGCAGAUUCAUCAUUCCUCAUAAUAAGUAUGUCAUCAACAUAUAUAAGCAAAUAAAUUGAUGAUGUACCUUGACUCCACGUGAAUAAGGCAUAGUCACGCUUGGAUUGUUGGAAUUUUGCAGUUAUAAGUGCAGAGGUGAACUUGGCAUACCACUGGCAAGAAGCCUGCUUGAGUCCAUAUAGGGAUUUACGUAAACAACAUACUCGAUUCUCCCCCUGUUUGCGUAAACCCGGUGGAAGAUCCAUGUAAAUUUCUUCUUCUAGAUCUCCAUGGAGGAAAGCAUUAUGAACAUCCAUUUGAUGAAGAGGCCAAUCACGAAGAGCAGCAAUGGAGAGAAAGGAACGAACGGUGACUUCUUUUGCCACGGGAGAAAAAGUUUCCGUAUAAUCAAAACCUUCUCGUUGUGUAAAACCCUUGGCUACUAAUCUGGCUUUAUAACGUUCAAUUGAACCAUCUGCCUUGUACUUGAUCUUGUAUACCCAUUUACACCCGAUAGAUUUUCGAUGAGGGGGUAUAGGAACAAUAUCCCAAGUGUUGUUCUCCACCAGAGCUCGUAACUCAUCCUUCAUCGCUCGUUGCCAAUGAGGAUCUUUGAUAGCCUCGUCAUAUGAAGACGGUUCCCGUCCCUCAGAAAUUUUACUUAUGCAACACCUAUGUUCGGGUGAAAGGCGAGCGAAGCUAACAUAAGAAGAGACAGGAUAAUGCGUACCAGAUUUUGCCAAGGUGGGACAAAUGUAGUCUGUUGUCCACGUGGGCAGUCGUGUUGUCCGGCUUGAUCGUCGAGGAUGAUCCGUUUCACUUCCAAUAGCCGCAGGAGGGAUAUUAACUAAAUCAUUCGAUGAGAUGGUGUGACCCUUUGGUAUCGCUUCUUGUGACUCCCUAGAGGCUGCAUUAUUUGAGCAAGACUGAGGAUCACAUUCAGCUGCAUGAUGCGUUAUAGGUGAUGUGAUAUUAGGAAUCAUGACGGGCUGUGGAGACAAGAGAUCUUCUUCACUCAAGAAUUUAUGAGGAUUUGUAGCCGGAUCUAAAUUUUGAUGUAAAGAUAAAUCUUCUUGGAAAGGAAAGAUGUCCUCAUGAAAAAUAACGUCUCUGCUAACAAGAAAGUCUCCAGUGGAUGGAUUAUAAAUCAAGUAUCCUUUUUGAUGAGCAGGAUAUCCCAUAAAUACACCUUUAACUGCACGAGGACCCAAUUUGUCCCGAGUGCCUACAGUUGAGACAUAGCACAAGCAUCCAAAAACACGAAGAUGGUGGAUGUUUGGUUGUUUCCCGAAGAGUAACUCAAAUGGAGUCUUGCCAUUCAGAAUCUGAGACGGCAUUCGGUUGAUCAAAUAGGUUGCUGUGACCACACAAUCUCCCCAAAACAUCUCCGGAAUUGAGGCUUGAUACUUAAGGGCACGAGCAACUUCUAAAAGAUGUCGAUGUUUCCAUUCAACGACCCCGUUUUGUUGAGGUGUAUAAGUACACGAACUUUCAUGAAUGAUGCCAUUAGAAAUAAAUAGAGAAGAACACUCAUGAUUAAAAAAUUCACGAGCAUUAUCAAUACGAAUCCGUUGCACAGAUUUGUGAAAUUGAUUUUUAACUAAUGUAAGGAAGUUCCUAACAUGGGAAAGAACUUGUGCCUUAGAUUGCAUCAAAAAAAUCCAUGUAGCCCUUGUAUUGUCAUCCACAAUGGUAAGGAAGAAACGUGACCCAUCCCGAUUUGGUGUAUGAUACGGACCCCAAACAUCCAUGUGUAGAAGAGAAAAAGCUGUAUGAGCACGUGAGGUACUUUGUGAAAAAGGCAAUCGAGAUUGUUUAGCUACUGAACAGAUAGGACACUUUGGAUGAGGAAAAGAGGCACUAUGGCCUAAACGCUGAUGAGACAAAAUAUUAUUAUUAACUUUGGCAUUACACAAAAUGCUCUCAUUUAAGGGUAGAGAUGAAAUAUCAAGAUUUUUGGGAAGUGCGGCCCAAAAAUAGAGUCCCUCUUGAAUUUUACCCAAUCCCAUCAGUUUCCCAGUCGAAAUGGCCUGGAAAAAACAAAUGUCAGAAUCAAAAGUGACUCGACAAGAAUUGUCUUCACAAAUUUUUGAGACGGAAAUGAGAUUAAAUUGGAACUCCGGAAUAAACAAGACAUUUUUCAAUGUGAUGAAUGGGUUGAGUUGAAUGUUUCCUGUUUUAGUAACGGAGGUAUCAUUCCCAUUUGGGAGACGUACUGAGGUGAACGGGGUCGAUGUACGAACAUUAGUAAGGAAAUGCUCAUCACAGACAAUGUGGUCACUAGCACCUGAAUCAAUAAUCCAUGCUUCAGUUGAAAUGGAGCUUAGGCAAUGAGAAAUACCUGUAUAACUUGCUGGUUUGUCCUGCAUUCUCAAUUGGCUUAGAGCUCUCAUGAUUUGUUGGAACUGAUCGUUAUUGACAGGUUGAUGAACUUUGGCAUGUGCCGCAAUUGAGACAUCUUUUUCCUUUUUAUCUGUUGGCCUCCCAUGCAAUUUCCAACAAUUUUCUAGCGUAUGAUAGGGUCGCUUGCAAUAAUCACAGAAUUUGGCUUUUCCUUUAUUGGAAUUUUGGCCACGUGAUUUAUUUGAGGCCACAACAGAAUUUUGGCCGUUGGAUCCCCGAGUAGCCGCGGCAUGAUGUCCACCGUCCGAUAUGGACGUGGAAAAAAUCAAUCCGGAGCCAUCUGAUCGCGCGAACGAAUCGGAGCCGUUAGAUCCCAUGAUUAAAUCACGUCCGUUCGUUGGGAAAUAAGUUUGUGUGAGCCCUGAGCCAUCCGAUUGCCCAAACACAUCUGAGCCGUUCACUCCAGAGGAUAAAAAAGAUUUGUCUUCUUCAUCCAGAAUCCCUAGCGCUGCGACUGACGUUAUGUGUCCACCAUGGCUGCCAUGGCCGGACCUUGCAGCGGCCAACCGCUGCUCUGGCGUCGCUUUGGCAGCAAGGAUAACUCGGUCUCCUACCUUGGCCGCUGCUCUGGCGUCGCUUUGGCAGCAAGGAUAACUCGGUCUCCUACCUUCAGGUACUCCGAGGAGGCCAGGCGUUGCGAUUCUUCCUGGACCGCGAGCUGGUAGAUCCGGCCGAGUGAGGGUACAGGCUCCAUGGCGAGGAUCUGGCUGCGAAACGGUAAGUAACUCUCAUUUAAAAUAAGUAAGAACCGUGUCACCUUCUCUCGCUCUCUUAUCGCACGAUAUUGUGCUAGGGUUGCGUCGGGUCCCUCCAACUUUUCUUCAGCCAUUUCCAACUCGUUCCAUAGUGCGGACAAUUUGUUGAAUACGCUAGAAAUAGAGAGAUUCCCCUGUUUGAGUUCUGAUAGAGCCUGAGUUAAGCUGAAAAUUUUUGCGCGAUCGAGUUUUCCAUACAUUUCCCGUAUGUUUUCCCAAAUUGCUUUCGCGUCUUCGGUCGGAGGGAGUCCCGCGGCGAACUCCGGGGUGAGACAGUUACCGAUCCAGGUCCUAACGAGCUGAUUGCAUUUCCUCCAAUGGCGUGCAAGUCGCUCGUCAACCGGAACUGGAACGGUGCCGUCAAUGAACCCCUCUGUCUUUUGUGAUAAGGGCCCGUCGGAACUCUCGCGACCAAAGGGAAUAAUUUUCCGGCCCGGAGAGCUUCUGUGUGAUAAGGCGGAGCUCGGGGCCAUCGGUAGCGGACGUGUACAGGGGGUCUCCCGGCUCGGGUCGACCGCCAAUGGCACCUACGAAUGGAGAAAAACCAGGUCCAUAAGUCGGGUAAGGGUUCACCCCAAAACCCGAUGGACCCGAACCACUUUGGUUCAGAAAAGUCCAACCUGUUGCAGAUCCUGGGUAGGACUUGUUAUUGGGUAGUGUACCUCCUCCUGACCCGUCGGUUCCACCGUGGGUUCUCUCGGCAGAGCCAAUUACAUUCUGAGCCAGAUUCGUUUGACUCGUCUGACCCGGAAUAGGUGGUUGAACUUGGAUCGGAACCCAUUGAACGUAAGGUCCCGUAAAAAUUUGCCCUGAAUUAGGCUGAACAUGGCUCUGUUGCUCUUCAUCAAGUGUCGUCUGGUUCAGGUCUUGCGUCUGAUCCUCAAUAUCUUGUCCUGAGGGUGAAUGAUUCAGCUCUUGUUCGUCGGAAGAAGUUUCUGGAUUAUGGGGUACUCCAGAUUUUGAGGCUUGGUUUUUUGGCAUAUUGUUUCCUUUUGCUGAUCUAGCCAAAACACUUUCUCAGGUUUGGUGUGGACUGGAGAAGAAAUCAGGACCUUGAUGAGGACAGAGAUGAAGAAAAAAAAUGGGCGGAAGCUAAAAGAGUAGCUCUGAUACCAUGUCAGAAUGGUAGGUGAUGGGAAAGUAGCCGAGAAUUGAAAAAAAGUAUUUACUUUCUCAUACGUGAAUUGUAUGAUUACAGCCCUAUUUGUAAUGUGUAAGCCCUAUCUAAUCAAAGAAAGAAAUAUACAAAAGGAAGGGAAAUAUCUUUUUUCCAAAAUAUACAAUAUUCUAAUCUCCUCUAAAUGAACCAAUUAGCAUCAAUUAAAAUCAAUUACAGCAACGGUAUCUUCAACACCUAUAUUGUCAUCGCAGAGCGCUUGCACUUCAAACAAAUGCAGAAGUAGGAUGUGGAAUCUAAGAGUGUCUGAUUUGAUUCGUAUACAGUGGGUUCAACCCUCGGCAAGUUUGGAUGUUGCAUCUUAAAAGGCACAUUCUUCUAAACGGCUGAAUUUGCAGAAUCAAUAGCAAAGUGAACCUAGUGGGCACGUUUUCUCCGGACAUUUCCACAAAAUUUGGAAUUAGUUCCCCUUACAAAUAGGAACGAUACUAGGCUUUCCCCCUUAUGAGAAGAUGUUCUUGACCUGGGAGUUUAGAAGGGAGUAAGAGCCACUUAAAAGCUGUUGUAGUUUUGGAGAUGGUAUCAAACGAUCUCUCAAAAAAGUACUCUCGGUACGCCAAACAUUAAUUAUCUUGACGUUUUACAAAAUCGUUCAUAUAUUUUUAGAUAGUCAUUGAAUAAAGGGAAAAUUCCAAAAAGAGAUCCAAAGUGUUAUAUUUUUCUCAAAUAAGGAUUCGAAGUGGAUUUUGUUUUAAAUAAAAAUCUGAAGUGACUUUAGUUGUUUCAAAUAAGAGCUUGAAGUGGCUUUGGUUAUUUCAAAUAAAGACCCAAUCUCGACAAUCGCCGGCCGGCUAAAUCUUCUGACCGGUCAAGAGUAUUUUCGUCAUUUGGCAUUUCCCCCCUUUUUUCUUCCUUUUUUUCUUAUCUUUUUUUUUUCCUUCUAAUUCCUUUUCUUUCUCUUUGCUGGUGGCCAGCUAGCCACCGGCAAUGCCCAUAGAGGGUUGGGUGAGGGCCACCCACACCUGCCACAAGCAAGGGACGGCCUCACUUAGGCGUGGUGACCUUCACCCAGGGGCCAUCCACGAGAUCAGUCCUCGCUAGCCCUGGUGAGGGUGGCCUUGCUCGCAACCAGCAAGGGCUGGGUGACCUUGCCGGCCGUGAGCAAGACCUAGGUGAGGCUGACCCUCGCCAGAUCUAGCGAGGGUUGGGCGACCUCACUGGCCCCUGAUAAGGGUUUGCAAGGCCACCCUCACCAAAUUUGGCUAGGGUCGGCCUCGCCUAGGCCUCGCUCGGGGCUGACCGGUCCUUACCAACGGCCGGUGAGGUCAUCCAACCCUCAUCGGCCGCAGGCAAGGGGUCGGUCUCGCCUAGGGCUGGUGCGGGCCGACCUCACGGAUGGGCCCUAGGUGAGGGUUGCCUCGCCCAGGCGAGGCCAUCCCUCGCAUGUGGCCUACGUGGGUGGCCCUCGCUGGCAAGCGUGACCCUCGCCCAGCCCUCUGUGGGCAUUGCCAUCGGCGAAAAGGAAGAAGAAGGACCAGAAAAAAUAAAAAAAGGAAAGAAAAAAAGGUAGAAAAAAGGGGGAAAAUGACAAAUGACAAAAAUACCAUUGACUGUCGGAAAGUUAGAUCCUUAUUUGUAACGAAUAUAACCACUUCGGGCUCUUAUUUGAAACAAAUAUAACUACUUUAGGUCCUCAUUUGAAAUAACAUAUAUUUUAGGUCCUUAUUUGAGAAAAUAAUUACACUUCAGUUCCUUAUUUGAAACAAGGUUCACUUCAGGUCCUUAUUUGAGAAAAUGAGAGCACUUCGGGUCUCUUUUUGAAAAAUUUCCUUUAAUAAAUAAGUUAUAUAGCAAUUUCUACGAAAGCAACUUUGUUAAUUCAAACCCUCCAAGAAAAGAACAAUAAAAGGAGAUUGACAAUGCCAUUGGGAGGCAACUUGGCAAAGCGAGCACUUUUGUGAGGUAUAAUAAGUCAGAGUUUAACAUUAUAUGGAUCAGUCUUUAAUCACGAAUAAAGAAAUGGCAAUACCACAAUCACAAAACUGAGGGCAGUUGGUAUAAUCGAAAUUCCAUUUAAAACUGCUGUUGGCAUAUAAACUUGUUAUUUUGUUUCCAAGAAAAAAAUUAUAAAUAUAUUACCAUAGUAGAACAACAUAUAGAAGAAUUGAAGUUGAGAGCUAGACUUUUUAAAUUUUGGGGAAAAAAAGUUUCUACAAUAAGUUUUUAGGUACUGCUUUCAAGAAUGCUUUAGUUUGAUUGGCGGAACUGUAACAACUAAACUGAGAAUGGUCUUUCUUUAAUUUUCAGCGUCUGGCCGAGUAUAUGCAUUUACAAUGUCAAUAAGUGCCGGACACCGAAACUCAAUUGAAGAGGAGGACUGGGGAAAGUCAGGGAGUUGCACCAUCCACAACCCCUCCAAGUAUAGAGGUUAUGUAGAACGCUGGGCAGUGAAAUACCACCCUCGGGCCCCCCUUGCGUCCGCAGAUGCUGCUAACAAUACUUUUCCUUCCUACUUACGACGAAUGUCAAUAAAAUGAAAAAACAAUUAACUACAUUCAUGCCAUUCUUGUUUACUUAUCAAGCAUAUGCACACUAAGUGACACCUGCUUAUUUCCGUCUUCGGCUGGGCUCCGUGCUCUUUCUGGUUGGAAAUGAUUACUCCAAACGCACGGGUAAUAGGGUCCUCCUUGGACGCCAUCUUUAUCAGUCAUCUUACCGAAUGUUUUCUGGUAUCCAAUAAACACCUUAAAUUCUUUGAUCCGUUAAAGAUGACAAGGAACAUAUUGCUGUCAACACACGUUACAUACACAUACACGCGGUUGGCAAUAUUAUGAAAACCAUAUGAACUGAAGGAAUAAAAUUUUGAGGUUCAGAAAAUGUACCCGUUUAUCCACAUUUAGUAUUUUUUCAUUCUUCGACUUUAGUGACAAAAUUAUCCUGCACAUGUGAAGAAACCGUAUGUGUGCUUCAUUCAUGUCAAAUCAGAUGGGAGGACUAAGUUCUCCAGACAGCUUUAAAUUGACUAAACUCGUCUAGAAGUUGCGUCAAGUACAAUCCAUAACUAUGCUUAUCUAGGAAGAUUAGCCCACAUGACUCGAAUGAAGAUGAACAAGAUGAGUAUACUUUAAAAUGCUGCAUAAUUAUUCUCUACGUUGUAUGCAUAUUAAGGAACUCAAAAGGCAUCUAAACCCACAUCGCUUAAUCUGUGAAGCUCGAAUAAGGGUUAUGUCGACCAAGAGCAUAUUAUUUUCCUUUUAUUUUCUAUGUUCUCGAAGUUGGAAAUUUCAACACUACGCAUCAUGAACAACCAAUGAACUGUUAUUGGAAUUAGUAAAUUUUUAAUGUUGCAAUUAAAUUUUAGUCCCAUACCAUCACAGAAUUAUUUGCAAAUUUUUCUAGUGUGCAAAAUUGUACUUUGAACUCAAACAAUGACCGUGGAGUUUUGAACAUUAACUUUCUACCGAUAAAGUUAAACCUCUAAGGCAAUAGCACUAAAACAUCAAAAGGGAAACAAAAUCACAGAUGAAACAUACAUUAACAAAGGAACCAAAUAAGAGAGAGGUCGUCCCGUCUCGCCACUUCUUUGAAACUUCUUCAAAAAAAAUUCCCAAUAACUACCUACUUCAUCUUCUUGCCACGUCCUCUAACCAAUAUUAACUCAAACGUGGUCAUUUCCCUCCAAAGUAUGGUGAAAAGCAGGCAUAUUAUCUAUUCGAUAAAUUCUCACACGACAUAAAAUGACUUUUCCUUGUGCCUUUAAUGAUGUGUCAUAAGUCAUUUAUAAUCACAACUCAGAUAUUUGCAUUGGGUGUUGUAGUUUCUCUAUCCUCUUCCAACUACUUUCACCCUUUUUACCUCAAUUUGUGACACCAUCUAAAGGUUCAAACUAUGUGAACUCUUCCUCUUCACAUUACCAUCCUCACUUUUUUCUCAUCUUCUCAAUGUUAUUCCGACCUUUCCCUCUCAUGACUGACCGACUUAACUAAUGGAUAUGACCGGCAUUGACUGCGACAUUAGUCAGCAUGAUAGACUCAGGCGGCCAACCGUACUCAAAUCUCUCUUCAACUGAAAUUCACAUGCCACAUGGCACGCUUCCAUUAGUUAAAAUCCUCGCUGUCUACAAUAGAACAUAUGACACCCAAUGGUCUAAUUAAUUUUCGUGAUAACUGUGUGGGAGCACAAAACUCUAGUUUAAAAAAAAAAAAAACAAAACAAAACAAAACAAAGCUAUUCUACCACAGCCCAAUCAUUACAUGUUCCGACUCCUUCGCUGGUCGCGCCGCCGACCAUCAAUCUCAGGAGGAUCACGUUUGUUCAUUUCAUCGAGAGCACCAUUCCAGAACCCAAAAAAAAAAAAAAAAAUCGAGCAAGGAAAAUUCAUCUCAAAAAAGCGAUUCCGUUCGAUUCAGUUGGCGGUUUCAAGCGUCCUGAAUCGAUCACAGUGGCCGUCGCCGGCAUCAACAGCCUCUUCAAUGCCGCGACUCGUCUCCUUUGUUCCCCUCUGUUCCGCGGCCGAGAGCCUCGAAAUGUUCCAGUUCGCUCGGAGCUUCUCCACCUGUUCAGGUUCCCAUCAUCGACACGUUCUAGAGCUUCUUUCAGUGAUUCGUGCGGCCAAUGGUGGCCUCAAUCCGCUUCGUUAACCAGGUAGCUUCUCCUGCUCUUUUCUCACAAGUAAGAGGCCGAGAGUCUGAUUCUCUUAUUAUGAUGAAAUUUAUCAUUGUUGAAUUUUUUUUUUCUUUUGACUUGGAACAUCAUGUACUGAUUUAGGUUGAGUCUAGUUACAAAUUUGGGUUUGAAAUGGCUUUGAUCUGUUCCACAACCGAUUGGCCAUAAUUUGUUCGAUGAAAUGUGUCUGAGAUCUUGGUGUGAAUUGAUUCCAGUAAUCGUCCGAUCUGAAAGCACAUUAGUGAUGUUCACUUGAUAUUGUUUGAUUUUGCAAUCUUUAGGCAUGAUUACGAGUAUAUGCCAUGGUUGCCAAGAAUGAAACUGACUCUCCGUUUGUUUUCUCAGUGGUUCCUGUGAUCUUUUGGUGAUUGGUGGUGGUCGGUGAGACGAGAAGGCUUGGAGUCGCUGGCACACGCAAUUUUUUUGGUGAUGAUCAUAGUACGCCCUGUUGAACAGAAUUGAGACGAUGUCGCUGAGCAUGAAUCGCAAUCACGCCAAUUCAGAUCACUAACUUUGGCCAACACAUGUUUCGGUCACUAACUGGAGCAAAGUUAUGGCUGAUUGCUAGCCGUAUCCUUGCUGUUGAGUCGCCCCACAAUGUCCUCAACUGCUGAGCUUUGCUUCUGUCCAUGCCUUGCAGUCCAUCGUUGCCAUUGUAAUUGCUGUGGUAAACCUACCUUGCCAUACUGCCAUACGUUACCGAUAUGGAUUGAUGUACCAAUAGAGCUAUAUCCACUGCGUUUUGUUAAAAAUCGGAUCACCUCAUACCGGCGGCUUGUUUCUGGUCCAACUGAUUUUUAGAGUUGACUGUAUGUUCAGAUUUCCUUCACUCCUUUGUUUUUUAUGUUCAGAAUUUUGCGCAUCUUCUUAAACCGAAUCAUGGGAAAGCUAAGCUGUUCGAAGUCCAGUCGUCAUGGGGUCAAUACUUGUGUCGUCUACUUCCUGCUUUAUUCUCUGUGCAUGACAUAUUCUACUUCACACGUGCUGUCGAGGGAAAUCAUGGUCGACAAUCAAUAUGAAGUGAGCAAGUUAUAUUUACUCUCUGUCAUUAGUUGAUAAGCUUUGGGGUAUGAUGAAACCAGUCAAUAGCUUGCUCAGAAUAAGUAAAUGAGGAUUUACUUCUUUCUUGGAAGUGUCAAUGUCAUCGCUUUGUCUCUGAUCGUGGAAAGAGUUUAUGGUUCGUUUUGAACUUGCAUAAAAAUCGUUGGAAUGCUCAUGAAGCAGCGAGUACCCAAAAUUUACAAGUUAUAUGAAUUGGUGUGUCCUGUUGUUGCAUAUGCUGUAGUUUAGCAGUUAUUGUUCAUCUAUGUUUGCUGAACCAUUUGAUUUGUCACUUUCAAUCGACGAGAUUUUGAUAAAGACACAUGACAAUCGUGAGCGAUGUAUUGAAACUGGCACUUUGGUGAUGACAGUGCUCCUUCGUGUCACAGUAUGUACUUGUUUUAGGAAAAAUCAUUUAUGAUGUUGGAGAAGUGAAUAUGUGUUGUAGGUGCCUUGGAUUCGGACAAACCCCUCGUUAUCCUAGACCCACUCAUUGAAGAAACGGAGAGGUAUAAACGUAAUUACUUUCCUUCUCUUGGCAAAAAUUCUGCCAUUCCCAUAGAAGUUCCAAGAGUACGAUGAGGUCGCCUAAAAAUUAGAAAACAGAAAAUGGAGAAACAUUUUGAAUCAGUAGUAACUAAACUAAAUGUUCUAUUGUGGUUUUCUCCUAAAAUAUGUGGUGCUUAGAACCAUUGAAUACCUAAAGCAAAACACAUGUGAGAGAGAGCUUUCGAGAGUAACGCUUAUAACCGUGGCUGAUCUGUCGAAUAGUACAAUGUACAAGACUUUAUGUUAAGCAGGGAGAAUUGAGAUAGGUAUCCGCGUGCUUUAUUUUUUUGCGCUUCCAGCUGAGUUGAAGCUAGAUGUGUAUAGUCGGCGUGCAUCUAUGAAAAAGUAUAUCUACAGUGUCAGAGUAAACGAGGUAAGUCUGAUUACUAUAAUGGAGGUAAUAUACAUUUUGCAGGCCCAAUAAUGGACAUGUGACAUUGGGCCAGCAAAAUGAACAUAUGAAGCACAAAACCAGAAACAAAAUCUUUCAUUGUCACCUGUCAGCACCGGUAAAAGCAUCACGCACCUGCAAACUUCAAACAUCUCACUUGACUGAGUCCAAACUCCAAAUCUUUGCAUGGAAAGUAGAAUUGGAUAACAAAAAUGUUCACGGCAUAGAUAUAAGAGGGCGCAUGAAGCUAUUGCUUCAAUUUUGUUGCUGAAGAGCGCCCCACUAUUUUCGGAAUCCUCACUGCAACUGCAACUACCACUAUUUCCUUGAAGUGAUUCACAGUAUGAAUUCAUCUCCCAAAGUUUUCCGUCAACUUUUGAUUCAUUAAGUCGAUGAAUGUAAGUGUCCCCAACGUAGUCCCAAAUUUGCUGCGUUCUUAAAUCUAGAGAAUAGCAAUAUUGUGUAUUUUUCCAACGGCUGAUCGCGUGCUUAUCUUUGCAUCUACAAAUCCAAAAAGGACAAGCUGUAACAAGACAGCCUACCAAAACACUAAAAUAUAGAUCGAAGAUCAUCAUACACCUUCCACAUCUUCCAAAACCACAUAUCAGACAAACCCAAAGAUAGAGCAAAUUGAGAUAGAGCAGAACGAAAGUAUUCUUCAGAGUCAGGUCACAGAUGGGCAUCCCUGAUGAUGUUGCAAUAUGGAGCCACAUAUGCGAUAAUGUUUAAUUCUUGCAAUCUGAUCAAGUAUGUGCCAUACUUAAAAUCUUUAGCAAUGUAAUUGAACCUUGCAAUAAAAUCAAAGGAAGACCCUUGGCACAUCACCAGCAUUGGAGAAUAUCAUAUUGACUUAUUUUAAACAUAAAGAUUGACGAAUCAAGGAAAGGUUAGUAAGCAUAUGUCCAUUGAUGGAUAUCCUAUGUGACACUUUUUUCAUCUUUUGAUAUAUACUCAAGUUCAAAGUUACUUCUUUGCUACAAAUUUACAUGGAUGGAGCAUUAUCACAAUCAGUGGAAUAUAGCUUGAAAUGUGAAAAAUGACCAAGCACCAUCUUAUCUUACAGCCAGAAGUUUGAGAUCAAAGAUCAGCACUUUGACAUCAUUAUGAUCACCCGUGUCAAUAAUGAGUACUUAAGUUCAAUGCAUAAACUCAAUAAUUUAUGGUUGGCCAGUGCUAUUGCGAUCGCCCUUGGACUCAUAAUAAAUUAGACACAACGGUGAUAGGACUAUUAGAUCAAAUAACCAUAAUGAGACACUGCAAAUAUUCUCGUAUCAGGGUAUAAGAAACAUAAAAAAAAUAAGUCCAAGAAGCCACACUAUGGACCUAUUCCAAAUCAUCAGAAAAUGUCAUAAUCAAUUAAAGUGUUGAUAAAACCUCCAUAUAUAUUUUAAAAUUAACAAAACUCUCCAUGUUUGUAUUGAUCUUGGUAAUCACAAAAAAGGCAUUUGUGUUUUAGGUACUAUCUAUGUCAAAAGGAUUCUUCUUGUCCAAAAAGAAUAUUAGACAAACAAUGGAGAGUUGUGGACCUGAGCAGGUCCUUAAAAGGCUCAAGGAGAAAAUAUGUGAGAUAACCGCCCUGGGGUGGGAGUCCCUUCGCUGUCCUCCAUAUUCCCUCUCUGUCGGGAAGACAAAAAUAAAUAGAGAAUUUGGGGGCCUCUCAAUGGGGAAGGUAGACUUCACGUCAAAGCUUGCUCUGGCUACCGCCGAAUAGGGUGGUAUAGUAGCCACCCGCGUGUGGGGUGAGAGAGGGUGGGUGAAAUGCCCACUGCUGUGUCAGCAUGCCUUACGGCACGGUUCCCAACCAUUGGCUAACAUAGUACCCCUGGUAUAUGUGUGAUAUCAACAAGGCAACAGGCUAGAUAUCAGUAGAGUCCCACAAAAGCUAAGUAUAAGCAUGAAAUUGAUUUACAAGAUUAUUUUUUGAGACGUUUUAUAUUCCAUUUCGUUUUAACAGCUUGUGAUUAGGUAUGAAUUGCCUCUUAAGGGAAUAUUGAUUGUCUAUCUCAGAGAUUGUCUUAGCAAAAGACUCAAUCUUGUAAGAUAUUUUGAUUGAUUGGCAAUCAUCUUCAAAGGCAAGUUUCUUUCCAUAGUAGAAGCGUUCUAUUUUUUAGAACCAAGGUUUAAUUGUAUAGGCGACCAAAUGAAAAAGUCCCAUUUCAUAUUCUUCCCUAAAAUAUAUUUUGUUUUAUCUUUCAUAAUAUAAUUGUCAUUACUAUAUGCAUCUUCUUGUUUAUUUCUCAUAACGAAACGCAUAACCAAUACACUAUCGUCCUCAUGAACUACAUUGUCUACCACAUUAACAUGUCUUAUCUUAUUUUAUUUUAUUUUGUAAAUUGAGGUAUUGCAUUAAACAUCUUAACAAAUUUUAUUCUAUUUAGGAAACAAAAAGUAACCAUUUGGUUAAGAUAAUAAUGACAGCGACCUAUAACGAGUAUUGCUCAUUGAUUUUCUUUUCUAUUUUUUGUUAUUGAUUAAAUAUGCAAGUCUAGUCAAGUGUGCUGGAUCUCGACUUUCAAUAAAGGUGUGUUGGAUCUCGACUUUCAAUAAUGGUGUGCUAGAUCUCGACUUUCAAUAAAAGCUUCAUGUGCACUUGCUCAAAGAUUCAGAUUUAUGGAUUUUAUUGAUCACAUGUUGUUGGACGGUGUCAAUUACAAAGUUUGGAUUAUUUAAGGUUUGUGCCGAGAUGAUGUGGCAUUAACAUAUAUUCCCAAAUAUGAACCCAAGAUGCCAAAAACUCAGGAAGGUUCAGGAGUUUGUGAAAAGGAAAAAGUAGGUUGACCAAAAUUAUCUCGUUUAGGUCAUGAGAUGGAUUUAACGUAAUGUAUAACUCAAUUAGUUGUUGAUUGUGUAAACAAGAUCGUCAUAAUCAUCCAAUUUGCCCAAACAAGGAAAAACAAAUGUUCUCAUAUUUACCAUCAAUCGAUUUUUAAUUAUCUCGAUAAUCUAAUAUCCAUAUAGUAGAAUCUUCAGAAUUGUUACUAUAUUAAAUGUGCUAAUAUGCUUGUAACUCCAUUCAAACUAGGAUAUGGAGCCUAACCCAAUUCCCAUCUUUAGUAAAAUAUUCACGUCUAAUUUUCAAAGGCCAUUAAACGGUAGAAAAGAAGUGGCUCUGCGUAGAGGGAUUGUAUUCUGGUUUUCUAAUAAAUUAGGUAUCUUCUUCAAAUUAUAUGCCAAUGAGUAUAUCAUUAUCAUUAAAUGCUGUCGUAAUCUACUUUAUUUAUUUAUUCACUAAAAUUAGUUGGUGUAGAUUACGCACCUUCCGCAUAAUGCUACGGAAAUAAUAAUCCAAGGAGAGACGUUUUUGUGAUUGACUCGUGUAUAAUUUGCACCGGAAUCAUGGGAGUAUUGAAAUGCUGGUUAGUUUUCUUUCCUAUUUCUCUUAUUAACAGAACAGCAAAGUCAAGUCAACAAGCACGAGCUUAGGAUUCUUCCACGCACCUCCUGCAAACUGCUGUGGAAAUUACGCGUGCAUUUGAUUGACCUAUGGAAAUUGGUUUCGGUGAGAAUUGAUGGUUGUUCUUCAUUUCUAUUUCUUUAUUACUAGAAAAAGCAAGUCAAGUCAAAAAGCGUAGGAUGGUCCCCACGCCUGCUGCAAAAAGUAGUGGAAAUUACGCGGGCAAUAGUCGCCCUCCGGUUGUCUUUUCUAUUUCUCUUAUUGAUACAAAAGGCAAGGCAAGUCAAAUCAAGGUCUUGCUCGCUUCGCUUUGGAUAAAUAAAAUGUUUAGAAAUAAAAUAUCAUUAACAUUGGGAAUAUUUUUAAUUAAUUAAAUAUUUUAAUUAAUAUAAAUAAUCAUUUAAAAAUAUUUUUUAAAUAAUAUAAUGAAAUUAUUUUUUAUUAACUAAUUAUUUCAAAUGAUACAAGUAAACUUAAGAUUUAUUGUUUUAAGAGUUCACUUGUAUUUCUCUAAAAAAUUAAUCAAUAAAAAGAUUUUCAUUAUCAAUGAUAAUUUAUAUUUAUAUAUUUUCAUGAAUAAUUCAUUUAUUAAUUUUAGUAAGUAAUAUAAAGGAUUUUAAAAGAAUAUUUUUUGAAUUAUUUUUAUUUUAUGGAACAAAUGCACGCUAAAAGCUCCAAACAAAUGUUAAACUGAUGUGAUGAAGUAUUAACGUGCCCUAUCAAGGGCCCCAAACGUUAAAUCCUCGAAGUUGCCAUACCGCUUGUACCUAUCAAAGAAACUCAAAAAAAUCUACCCACACUGAUAUGAACAAGACAAACUGGUGGACUAGAGAGAGCCGUGUAAGAUGAACCAAAGAUAAGGAUGGAAUCUUGAACACCCAAUGAAACGAGAGAUAUAUAUAUCACAAGAUAAGGCUCAAAAUUCAUUUAUAAUAUGUUUUGUGGUGUGUUUAGGCUAUAGACCGGUCAUGUCUUUCAUUCUCAUUGGAUGCGCAGGAAUCCAAUAUCCUAAUAUAUAAUAUAGGUGCGUUUGAAAGGUUGUGGUCUCCAAAUAUGCAAACAUUUUUUUUUUCUAAUAAGGUGCUAAUUUGUCUUUACCUUAGUGUGAGUGGAAAUCCAUCACUAACCUCACCAGUAUUUUCCAUGAUCUAAUUUCAAAUAGUAGAAGAUUAAUGGGCAAGUUGAGCCUAGAAAUCCUUGCCCAAGAUCGAUUAUGAUUAAAGAAAAGGAAAAUAUUACCAACCCCGGAUCUAUAUGGAGAGAAUUUAUUAUACAAUUAAAAUAUUUGCACUCACAUUAAGGAUCCAAUUGCACUAUCACUUGAAUUAUUUUCCUAAAAUUAACUAUUUAUCAUUUAAAAUAAUUAAUUAAUAAAAAUAUUUUAAUUAUCAAUGAUAAUCUAUAUUUAUAUAUUUUGUAUUUUUUUUUCAAAGCGAGCAAGACUUUGACUUGACUUGUCGUGCCUUUUCUAUGAAUAAGAGAAAUAGAAAAGAAAACCAAAGGGCGAUCCGUAAUUUCCACUGCAUUUUGCAGAAGGUACUGGGGACCAUCCUCUGCUUCUGGACUUGACGUACUUUUUCUACUAAUAAAGGAAAUAGAAAUGAAAACGAACGAGCAAUUCUCCACCAUCUAAUUUCCACAAGGCAAUCAAAUGCACGCGUAAUUUUCACAGCAGUUUGCAGAAGGUGCGUGGAACCAUCCUGGGCUGGUGCUUCUUGACUUGACUCUGCAUUUUUCUGUUAAUAAGAAAGAUAGAAAAGAAAACUAACUAGCAUAGCAAUGCUCCCGUGCUCUCGGCAGUAAUCAAUAAAAAAAAAAAAUCACUUGUCGGAUUAUUAUUUCCAUGGUAUUAUGCAGUAGGUGCGUACUCUCUGCCAAUUAAUUUUAAUAAAUAAAUAAAAAGAGAUAGAUUUCGAUAGCAUUUAAUGAUGAUGAUAGGGUGCACUGAAAAGAAAAAUUAGAAUUUUUUUUCCUUUUUUCUUUUGUCAAUCUUUCUUUUAUCUAAAUAAAUACUAACUCAUUCAUAUAUAUUUUCAGAUGAUGAGGAAACCCUUCCGAUUUCCAUUAUUCAUAGGAAGUUUCGUUCAUUUCCUCUAGAUAUUUUGCCUCCCAAGCAAGUAAAAAUCCAAGAGCUCACAUUUCCAUCAAUUUUUGCCACACUUCUCGAUCCUCAAAAGAGUUUGAACCAAUGUUUAUCAUUUGCCUAGAUAACUUCUUGAUCCUCAAAAGAGUCUGGACCAAUAUUUAUCAUUUGUCUAGAUAACUUAUAUAACUAACAAACUUUUCUCCUCCUAGAUAUCUAGGAUUUCUAACUUUUUUUCUUUUCAUCGGGGAGGGAUUCACCCAUCGGCCACGCCCACCAAUUAUUAGAAGCAUCGUUAGGAAAAAAAAUAAAUGCACCCUACUAUGCGACAAAGUUACAUUCCAUAUUCUUCCUUAAAAUAUAUUUUGUUUUAUCUUUCACAAUAUAAUUAUUAUUAUUAUUAAUCCAUCGUUUGUUUUUUUUUCAUAACUAAACACAUAACCGGUACGAUGUCGUCCUCAUAAACUACAAUGUCCAUCAUAUCAUAAUGUCUUGUUAUGUUUUUCUGUUUUUUUAUUUUUGUUUGUAAAUUGAGGUAGUGUAUUAAACUUCAUUUAGUUAUGGUGAUAUAUUUUAAUAGUGUGAUUGGUCAAGGUCGUGAUAUCAUUGUAUAGUUAGUUCGUACUAUUCAAAUGCUAAUGAUAGAGACCUGUAACGAGCAGUGCUCGUUAAUUUUCUUUUAUAUAUUUUGUUAUUGAUGAAAAAUGCAAGUCCAAUCAAGUGAGCUGGAUCUCAAAUUUCCAUCCAAGCAUCACUUGCACUUGCUCGAAGCUUCAAGUCUAUGGAUUUCAUUGUUUGCAUGUUGUUGUAGGAUGUCAAUCGCAAAGUUUGGAUUAAUUAAGGUUUUUAAAGAGAUGGUUCGGCAUUAACGUGUAUUCCCAAAUAUGAACCCAAGAUUCCACGAACUUGGGUGGGGCCAACUACAAUGUCUUGUGAGUUUGUGAAAAGGAAAAAGAACAUUUGAUAAAAAUCAUCUUGUUUACGUCAUGAAAUGGAUUUAACAUAAUGUAGUAAAUCAAUUAGUUAUUAAUCGUGCUAACAAGAUCAUCAUAAUUGUCCAACUUGCCCACGCAAGGACAAACAAAUUUUCCCGUAUUUACUAUCACUUCAUUUUUAAUUGUCUCGAUAAUCAAAUAUCCAUAAAUUGUAGAUUCUUCACAAUUGUUACUAGAUUAAAUGUGCUAACAUGCUUGUAGCUCCAUCUGAACUCGAACAUAGAGUUUCACUGUGACAUCCAGAUUUUCGGGUUUUAAUUCGACUGGAUAAAUAGAGCCAUUUUCGUUCAGUUGAAGCCAGGGAUUGUGAAGUUGGAAUGCAAGUGGGUUAUAUUGGUAAGGAAAAAUACCAAUUGGAAUGAUGAGGUGUUGCAUAAAUUAAUGGGGGUCAAUUUGAUUUAAUUCAAGAGGAAUUAAGGCCCAGUUGGAAAGAAAACCUAGCAAAUUCGUAUGCCACACAUACCCCACAUUUUGGCCUAUCUAAAGGCUUCUAGAAGGGGUAGAAUUGACAAGAAAUUGUGAGUGGAAGGGUGACAUCACAUGAUGUCAUGGUGGGCCAAGUGUGUGAUGACCUAAGAGAGAGAGUGUGUGAGAGGAAGAGGGGAAAUUGAAAUUUUCUUCCUCCCCUCUCUCCUCCGUCGACGGAUCCAUCCCUAUCUUCUUCUUCCUUUUCUCCAAACCUCCAUGGGAGCGGAAGACCAGAGAAGCAGAAGCAGCUGCCGUCGUCGCCCACCGAAGCCGGAGCCGCCGCCGCUGCUCCGCGGUUGGCCGCACCUCACCGCACGCCCUCUCUUCCGCCUCUCUCUCCCUCCUCUUACUGGUGCGAACCAGAGGACAGCAGAAAGUAAAGCAGCGUCCAGCGUCGCCGGAAGGAACCGCGACCAGCUGCCUGGACGCCGCCGCACCGGAGCUGCCGCACCGCCGCCCGCGCGACGCCGCGCGCUCCGCCGCCUCACGAUCGCACCUGCCGUCCUCGCUGUGCGACCCAACCCCUGUUCCGCCUCUGUUCAGCUUCGUUUUGGCCAUCUACGGUCCACGGUUCGGCCACCUCCGGCCACCGUGCGCCGCCACUUCGACCCGUCGGAGUCCCCUCGCCCUCCACCGGCCUUGGCUAGCUCGAAUCAGCCCCGGAUCCGCCCCUUCCAGCAGCGAUCAGAGAAGUCAGAAAAUGGGUUUCCAGCACUGUUCAAGGUCGUUUUGGGUCGUUUCCCGGCCCCGAACUCGAGGCCCGCUUUGGGAACAAUCGUUCCUCGCGUCGCCGCCGUCGGAUUGAUCCGAUUUGCGCGCGAUUUGGUGAGUAAUCUCACUAAUCCUGGAUUAGUUGGCUAAUUAUGCUUUAGGUUGGUUUAGUUUUAAUUAAUUAUGUUUAGGUUGUUAGAUUAGAAGUAAUUAGCAAUUAUUAGUCAAUUGUGAUGCGAUUUAGAUAAAUUGAUUGUGCAAUUAACAAGUAGACGUGGUCUACUAUUUAUUGGGAGUGUCUCGGGAAUUUUCGAACCCCUAAUUGAGCUUCAAUUUGAUGAUUCGGGCCUAAGUGGGAUUUUUGGCAUUUAAAUAUUAAUUUUCGGAAUUAAAUUAAAUAAUUAUUUAUUUUUCGAAAAUUCAAGGGAGAUGGUCUGGAACCGGAAUAUUAUGCUGAUGAUUGUGGCGAAGUCCGUUUAUUUGAUCGGACUUUAUUUUUUUAAGCUAAAUUGAAUUUUUAAGAUUAAUCAAUUUUCGAAAUUAAUUAAAUAAUUAUUUAAUUCCUGAAAAUUCAACUGGGAUGGCCCGUGACCGGAAAAUUAUGCUGAUGACCGUGGUGAAGUCUGUUUACUUAAUUGGACCUUAUUUUGAGCUAAACAGAAUUUUUAAUAUUAAAUAAUUAAUUUUCGAAAUUAAUUAAUUAAUUAAUUAUUUUUCGGAAAUUAGGUUUGAGAUGGCCGAUGACCGGAAUUUCAUGCUGAUUGUCAUGGUGUGGUUCGUUUAUUUAUUUGAGGCUUAAUUUGUGAGAAAUUGAUUUAUUAGUGAUUUUAGGAUUUAUUCCUAAAUUGCACAAUUUUUGGUUAUUACUUGAAGAAUAACCGGGCAUCGGUUGAUAAUGCCAAUAUAUUGAAAAAGUUGCCGAGUGGGGCCGUGAUACCACUACAUAUAGCAUUGCCGAGUGGGGCCGUGAUGCCACUACAUGCCGAGUGGGGCCGUGAUGCCACUACAUAUAGCAUUGCCGAGUGGGGCCGUGAUGCCACUACAUAUAGCAUUGCCGAGUGGGGCCGUGAUGCCACUACAUAUAGCAUUGCCGAGUGGGGCCGUGAUGCCACUACAUAUGAUAUUGCCGAGUGGGGCCGUGAUGCCACUAAAUCUAAGAAAGUUGCUUGGUGGGGCCAUGAUUACCACCUAUAAUUAAGUUGUGUCCUAAGGACCGUGAUUCAUAAUUGGGAUUUGAAUUGGAAUAGUUGAAAUGACCGGAAGUGGUCUUGUUGAUAUGUAAUCGACUAGGUCGAUUGAUCAUUGCUUGAUCUGAUGUUGUGAAUGGGCAGAUUGAUUGGAAAUGACCAUGAGAUGGUAUGAUUGACUUGUAAUCGACUAGGUCGAUUGAUCGAUUAUUCGAUCUGAGUGUGACUUGAUGUGAUUCAUUGCCUUGGUUGGAUGUUGUGAAUUGAAUGAUUGAAUGGAGAUGAUCAUGAAUGGUCUUCCUGGCAUAUAAUCGACUAGGUCGAUUUGAUCGAUGCUUCGAUAAGUGAUCUGAUUGCUUGGGUGCCUAUUAUGAAUUGUACUAACUCGCAGGUGGGAUAUGAGGCCAAGGUACGUCUUCUGCCCUAUGCGUGUAUAGGCAGCCUAUAGUAUAAUAGUUUACUAAUUGGGCUUAGUGGGGUAGAACUCGCUGAGACGUAGUCUCAUCCCAGUUUGGGGAAAAACAUUUCAGGACCCCGUUGAGGAGCUGAGGAGGAAUCUGAGAAGGAGAACUCGGAAAUGAAACCUGAGUAGAAGAAUUUUUGAAAGAAGAAGAUAAUCUCGAGAGGGGCCUUGAGUACGGCCCGGAUGGCUGAGAGUUUAUCUUAUUUUGAGAUUUCCUUUUUGAUGUGAAUAGUUAUGAAGUUCUCUAGUUGAUGUCAUGUACAAAAGUUUGGUUAUAAAUUUCAAUAUGAAAAAUAUGGCCCUGCUUUUCUAUCCCAUCGUUUUAUUGUCUGGGGAUUUUAAUUGCUUCCGCAUGUGCUUAUAAAUUAAAAGGGUCGGCGAUACAUUGUCCUGGGAUAUCGCAUUAUAAAAUCAACAUGAGAAGAGAAGGAUGUGUGCGUGCCUGAGGAUCGGGGCGUGACAUUCACCCAAUUCUUCUCUUCGGUAAAAUUUCCACAUCUAAUACAAUCGGCAUUAAACAGUAGGAACGAAGUAGUUCUAUGCACAAAUUUGAUGGUCAUAUUACGAUUUUAUGAUAAAAUAGGUAUCUUCUUCAAAACUAUAUGCCAAUAUGCAUACCAUCAUCAUUAAACGCUACAACAAUCUACUUUUUUUUCUUUAUUAAAAUUAGUUGGCGGAGAAUACGCACCUUCCACGUGAUCCCGUGGAAAUAAUGAUGCAAUGAGUGAUGUCUUUGUGAUUGACUCAUGUAUAGGGGCAUUGGCGGCAUCGGAGCAUUCCUAUGCUGGUUAGUUUUCUUUUCUAUUUCUCUUAUUAGUUGGAAAAAAAAAAAAAAGCAAAGCAAAGUGAAGAAGCACGGUAUUGCAUGGUUCCACGCACCUUCUGCAUAACUGCUGUGGAAAUCACGCGUGCAUCGAUUGCCUUGUGGAAAUUAGAUGGUGGAGAAUAAUUGUUUGUUUACAUUUCUAUUUCCUUUAUUAGCAGAAAAAGCAAGUCAAGUCAAGAAGUAAGUAGAGGAUGGUUCCCGACGCCAUCUACAAAACGUAGUGGAAAUUACGCAGGCAAUGAUUUCCCUUUGGUUUUUUUUCCCGUUUAUCUUAUUGAUAGCAAAGGCAAGGAAGGUCAAGUAAAAUGUUGACAAAUAGCGGAGAUCACAGCGGUGGGCCAGCAUUCAUGAGCGUAUGGAGGGAAUUAUCCAUCGACCACGUCCGCUAAUUACCAAAGGCACCGUCAGAAAAAAAGAUAUACACUUUACGAUGUGAAAAAGGAAUUGCAUUUCAUUUUCUUUCCCAAAACUUUAAUUUAUUUUAUCAUUACUAUUUAACCUUUAUUUCGUGCAUAUACUUAUUUAUUUGUUACAUAAGGAUACAUGUGAUCGGCAAACUAUCUUCCCCGGGAACUACAAUGUCCACUAUAUUACCAUGUCUCAUUUUUCUUUUUCCAUUUGUACUUUGAGGUGGUACAUUAAAAAUGUUAACAAAAAAAAAAAUUCUACUCAGGAGUCAAAUCAAGUGUGAUGAAUUUUAAAUUUUGAUCAAAGCUUAACACACUUGGUAGAAGUUUCAAAGUCUAUGGAUUUUAUUGUUCUCAUGUUAUGGCAGAAUGCCGACCAAAAGGUUUAGAUUAUUUAAGAUUUGCAUAGAGAUUGAUCUAACAUAAGGCAACAACUCAAUUAGUUAUUUAUUAUGCAAUCCUUGUAAUUAUCUAACUUGCCCAAGCAACAACAAACAAAGCUGCCCAUAUAUACUAUCAAAUUGUUUUUUAAUUUUCUCGAUAAUCUAAUAUCCAUUGGGAUAUAGGGUCUCACCCGAUUCCAAUAUUUGAUAUAAUAUCUACAGUGAAUCUUCAAUUGAUCUUAAACAAUAAUGAAGUGACUCUACACACAUGAAUUUGAUAAUCGUCUUCUGAUUUUAUGAUAAAAUGGGUCUCCUCUUCAUAGCUCCACAUCAAGAUGCAUGUCAUAAUCGUCGGGCACUAACAUGCGCAAGCAAGGGAUCUUUGUGAUUUUAAGUCGGAUCGGACAGUGAUCCUACGCAUCCAUCCUACAUAGAGAAAGAGAGAGAGAGAGAGAGAGAGAGCAUUUCCGCAAUCUACACAAUCGGAAUUGAUUGUUGCUUUUCGGUGCUAUUUCUUUAUUCAUAAAAAAAAAAAGCUAGUCAAGUCAAAAAGCACACGUACCUUCGCAUGACGCCGGUGUGCAAUAAUUAUCAUGUCGCGACUGGGAUGGUUGGAUGGCAACUCAGCAUUAUAUGCUUUUUUGGACGAAUCUCCUUUGAAAAAAAAAAAAGAAGAGUAGAUUUUGGAUUAAAAAUAAUAAAUUGUCCUUAUUCGAAUAUCUAAACAAAGUGUCCUACUGACAUAUAUGUUAUUAUAUGUUUUUGUGUUUUUUUUUUGUCAAGUAUAUGUUUUUGUGAUUGACUCAUGUCUAUUAGUACUGGCAGCAUGGGAGUCUUGCUGGUUAUUUUUAUUUAUUUUUAUUUUAUUUUAUUAAUAGUUAAAAAAGUAAGUCAAGUCAAAAAGCACUCGCAUAGAAUGGCCCAUGCACCUCAAAGUUCCAGUACCUACCGCGUAAUGACGCAGGUACCAUCAAACAACAUUUUCUUUCAUUUUAAGUACUUAAAAUGGUCCGAAAAACAGGCAUGUGCUCACGGCUUAAUUUUCACAAAUAAAUUAAGUUCAGCAUUGGCCAAAAAAAAAAAAGAAAGCAAGUUGAGUGAAGGUUGAAAAUCGAGUUAUAACACAUAAGGUUUGACUUGAAAUUACCAAUGCAAUCAUUGCCAUUAGAGUACAAUGCUACGUAUAUUUUAGAUCUUAACAACUUAUUUGGUUUGAUUUCUAGCUUUUUCUUAACAACGAAGCAUAGAUCAAGUAUGUUAAUCCUCAUAUCAACAAAUUCUCCAUUUAUGCAAAAUAUUGAGCAAGAUAUAAUCUCCAAAUACAAAAGAAUUUAUGCUUACAAAUAUGAGGAACCAACACAUAUCGCGUGGUUAGUCUUCGUAUACUAAUUUUUACUUUAUAUUCCCUCACACCUCUCAUAGUUGAACUUUUGCUUAACAAAAAUUACUUAAAAGAUUCAAAAUAUUCAUAUAUCGUCACAUAGAUAAUUAUACAUUCAUGUUUGUAAUUUAACUUAAAGAAUGUACAUAUUUAAAAUAUUUUAAAUGUAAAAAUCAAAUAUAUUUUUAAGUGCAACCUAAAUUUUUAUCAAAGGGCCGCAUACCAAAAAUUUUCUUCUAUUUUGAAAGAGGUAAUGCGCCUCAUUAAUCAUUAGACAAAAAGGCCAAAACAUGGAGCCGCGUCCACCUCAGCCAGCGCUGUCGAGGCGUGUAGCAUAUUCCCAUCUCAUUUUUCAAAAGCCAAACGAAAUUGCUCCGAAAGUCCAACCCCUAAGUCGCGUCGGUCGGGGAGAAGGCGGGAACUUGCUCAGACCGCGCGCCACGGGAGCUCGAGGGGGCAAUUCGGUACAUUCGGAGUGGCCGAAGAUAUCCUCGAGGUGCGAGGUGGGGACCACGCGUGGGCUUCGGUUUCUGCGCAGCUGGACCGUCGUAGCGGCCAAGCAAAGUGGAGAGGAGGAGCGACGUGGGUCCGCUUUAAGAGACAACUUGGGCAGAAUCCACGAAGCAAAUGUCUACUCUGUUUUCGUGGAUAAAAGGUUCUGGGACAGUCGGACGGCAAUAACUCAGCAUCGUUUAAGCAAGCAGGGGAGAGUGUUGAGUGUAGUUAAUCCGAGGUCGAAGGGUGAGAACCGGCAGAGAUCACAGCAGUGGGUGGAGUGUGUUGUUUGAGCACUCCUAGGUAAUCGAUUCCUCCAUUUUCUUUUGAUGAGUUUCGAUUUGAGUUCUUGGAGACAUUUCUGCAUUCCGAGAUCUGGACUGUGAAAUCUAGCCCUUUUUUUAAAGGCUUUGCUCGAUAAAUCUCCUAUUUGGUCAAAUCACAAUUUAUUUUUGUUUGAAUGCAGCUACGAAUUGAGCUCUGACAAACAUUUCAGCAAUUCUCAUACGUGGGUUUCCAUAUUUCUCUUCACUAUUUCCUGGUUUCCUUUGAGGCUCUGCUCUAUCAAUCUCUUUCACCGUCUUUGUAGGUGAUGACGGCAGCGAAGCCUAAAAGAUUCGAUAUGUGGGGCGCCUUCCUUUCUGUUUGAAUUUAGCUACAAAAUGAACUCUGACAGACAUUUCAGCAAUUCCCGAAUCUGGGAUUCCGUAUUUCUCUUUGUUUGCUGCUUUUCUUCGAGGCUCUGCUCCAUCGAUCUCUCCAUUUCCUUUAUAGGUGAUUACAAAGGCGGAGCCUAAAAGAUUCGAUAUGUGGGGACAUUCAGAAGAUCCGAAUUGCGGGGCUUCCUCCUCAUCGACUUCUACACCUGUAGGUGAUUAUGAAGGCAGAACCAAAAAGAUGAAAAGAAAUGACUACGAAGUGUUCUUGAGCUUUAGAGGGAAGGAUACUCGCAACGGUUUCACCGAUUAUCUCUAUAAUAGUCUUGUCGAUGCAGGAAUUCAUGUGUUCAGAGACGACAAUGAGCUUUGCGUUGGUGAGGAGAUCGGACCAGAACUUCUCCGCAGUAUUACACAAUCUAAGAUCUCCAUCCCGAUUAUCUCAGAGAACUACGCUUCCAGCAAAUGGUGCCUUCGCGAGUUGGCUCUUAUGUUGAAUUGCAAGAGAAACAAAGGGCAAAUGGUGUUGCCCAUAUUUUACAAAGUGGAACCUUGGCAAGUGAAGCAUCUCACAGGGAGAUUUGGAGAUGCUAUCAAUACACAUAAAAAGAAUUUGGAAGAAAAGAUUGUGAAGGAAUGGGAAGAAGCACUCAAAGAAGUCACUUCCUUGAAAGGAUUGGAAUCGGAGAAAAUUGAUAAUGGGUAUAUUAUUCUCUACCACAACAUUGUUUACUUUCUCAGAACUAGAUUUUACUUGAAAAAUAAUACGAAUAUUUCCAUCAUAUAUUGAAAUUUUUAUUGUUGUUCGACAGGCGUGAAGGAACAUUGGUUAAAGUAGUUGUCAGAAAAGUUAUGAGUAAGUUAAAGGAAUUGUUUUUGCUAAAUGUUCCUAAACAGUUGGUGGGAAUUGAUGAUCAUGUGGAGGAUAUUAUGCACUUCAUAGAUGCUAAAUUUAACGAUACAAGUAUUAUCGGAAUCUAUGGAAUGGGCGGCAUCGGUAAGACAACUCUUGCGAAGGUAUUGUACAACAAGCUUUUGAGUCAUUAUGAGUCUCAUAGCUUUGUGGCAGAUAUCCGAGAAAAAAUUAAGCUAAAGGGUCUUGAAUGCAUGCAAAAGCAGCUCAUUUCUGAUAUAAGUGGAGGCUUAUGUGAAGUGUCUAGUGUCGAUCACGGAAUCAGUAUCCUUAAAUCUCGAUGUAGAAGUAAGAAAGUACUCAUUCUUCUUGAUGACGUGGAUGAUAAUACUCACCUGAAUGCUUUGGUCGAAGACGGUAGUUGGUUUAAAGCUGGAAGUAUGAUCAUCAUCACUACUAGAGACGAGAGUAUUCUUGACAAGGCUGGGGUAAGACCACAAGUAUCAACUCAAUGGGUUGCUUUCAGAGCAAUCAUGUUUAUUUAGCAGACAUGCAUUUCGAACGGAUUNNNNNNNNNNNNNNNNNNNNNNNNNNNNNNNNNNNNNNNNNNNNNNNNNNNNNNNNNNNNNNNNNNNNNNNNNNNNNNNNNNNNNNNNNNNNNNNNNNNNUUACAGGGUUAUCUCUCGUGAUAUCGUAUCUACUACUGGGGGGCUUCCUUUAGCUCUUGAAGUUAUUGGUUCAUUCUUAUGUGGAAAGAAAAAAGAAGCAUGGAAAGCUACAUCAAAAAAAUUAGAGAAAGUGCCUCAUAAGAAAGUGCAAGAGAAGUUGAUAAUAAGUUAUGACGCAUUAGAUUUUGAGGACCAGCAGAUUUUUUUGGAUAUUGCAUGUUUUUUUGUUGGAUCAUCUAAACAAAAUCCAACUUACAUGUGGGAUGCCUGUGGUUUUUUCCCGGGAAAGGGGAUUGAAGUAUUGAAUCUUAUGUCCCUAAUUAAAAUUACUGAUGAUGGCGAGCUAAUGAUGCAUGAUCAGCUGAGAGAUCUUGGAAGGGAAAUUGUUCGUCAAGAAAAUCUAAAGAAGCCUCAAAAGCGUAGCAGAUUGUGGGAAUAUGAGGAUGGCGUGGACGUGCUUCUCAGUAACAAGGUAAGAGUUUUUCUCUGCUUGUCUUAAUCAACGAAUGUGAGCCCAUCUUCUCUUUCUUGUUUAAAAUAAUAAUUAUAGUCAAUCAUGAGUCCCCAAAACUGGCUGCGUCUACUGGCAAGAGGGCUCUUUUAAUUAAUUGCUCUUCUUGUCAGACUUUAGGACAAAAUUGAAGAGCAAUUUCUUGGUUAUUAGUAACUAAUAUUUUUAACUAGUAAGAUUGUGAUGAGGAUACUCUCCUUUUGCUAGCUUCAAGAAAAAACAAAGCUACAAAUUAAUGUUCGAUAGAGCACUUUUAAAGAAAAUCGAAUAUCUAUAAAUUGUUGGGGCCAUGCUUUCCCACAUUUUUGUUUGGUGCACAGGUUGAUGUUUGGAUUCUUAUAUUGAUUUCUUUUAAGGUAUUUUCUUUCUUUUUUCUUUUAACAAGUACCGACUUCUUAAGAGUUUGCUACGAUGAAUGAGACCAUUCAUUAAUGAUGAUUAGCUACCCGAUUCUUGAAUUUUUCAAGUUGGGUAAAGUAUAGAUUUAGUCCCUCAAGUAAUACUAUUUGUAAGAUUUAAUCCCCUUUCUAUUUUUUUGCUCAAUAUCAUUCUCCAUCUUUCAUAGUUUGUGCGAUCAAGUCCUUUGUAGUCAACCGUUAAUGAACAUGGUCAAUUUGUUGAUGUGACUUUCAUAAACUAUAAAUAAGUAUGGUUAUAAUUAAUAUAAAUCCUAGUUAUAAUUAGAAAUCUAACAUUGAUAGAGUGACUUGGAAAAAAAGACAUGAAUUUUGGGAAUAACUAUUACUGCGAGUAAAUAUUGUAAUAGACUAUAAUAGCCAUUACGGUAAUGAAACGUGCUCUAGUAAUCUAAAUGCAUGUAAUAAUACAUUGCUACAUAAUGUCUAUGUAACUAAGGGUUAGUAUAUGUGUACAACUAAACGGUAUAUAUUAUGCAGUAAGAUCUUUAGUUCAAAGUAAGACGUUAGGAAAAAAAAGUAGAAAUUUUCCAAUAAACAGGAUUAAUAAGCAAUAAAUACUUUACUUAGAUUUUUAACACUCAAAAUACUUCAAGCUUUUGCUUCGUACUCUAAUCUUAAUAUCUCGAUCUUCUCUAUUAGUCUCAAACUUGACCAAUUUGCAAUAAUUAGAGGUGGUCAAGGACUUACACUGAUGAUCUAAAUUGCAAUACUAAAGACAUCUAGAAUCGACUUAUAGCAAACUCCAUCAAAUACAAAUAGAAUGCUCUAUCACUUUGAUCCAUAUCUCUCUAGCUCUUCCCAUUUAAUGUCUUCCGGUUGGUUUGAGGAAUGAACUGGACACAUGUCAAAUGGUUGGUGAAAUAAUUGGUGACUAAGCAAAAAUUCCCAUAACAAACUCAUGCAACUCACCAUCUCACAUUCUUCUUCUGAUUUGUGCAUUUUUUUUUUCUUUUUUCUCUCUUUUUAAAGCUCCUUCACAAAAGUUAGUCUAACCAUAUUGAGUUUAUCACAAUAUUCACAUUCUACUUAAUCCUUGAAAAUACGAGUUAUUACCUUACAGUAGACUUCUGCUACUAUUACAAUCUACAACACUUGAAAAAUAGAGAAUCUAAAUAUUCUUUUCUUGCAUUAUAAAGGAGAUAUUAUAUAAAGAAGUUAUCGCCAAAAAAAAGAGAGUAAAAGAGGUUGCAUAAAGAAGUAUGUGUUAUUAAGAAAUAAAAAUAAAGAAGUGGAAAGACAAAGGGAAGUAACUAAGGAAUACUAAUAGAUAGUAAAAUAAUGUAUCAAAGAGGACGCACUAUAGAUGUUCAUUCAAUUAGUAUAUUAUAAAUAAUUAGUAUAUUGUGCUAAUUAGUAUAUUAUAAAUAAUUUUCAACAUAAUAAGUGAUAAUGAGUUAUCAAGAUAACAUAAUCACUAUUUCAUCAAUUAUUUACCUUUUUUUUUUUUCAUAUUUUCUAUGUCAAUGAUAUAAUAAGUGAUCAAGAUAACAAAUAUUCAUGAUCUUGACAAUUUCAUGGAAGAAUAGUUAUUACGAUAUCUCUGUAUACAUAUACAUAUCUGAAAAUUAAUUCCCAAGUCACAAUUUCUAUGAAAAGUGUUUAAAAGAAUUUUGAGAGGUGAAAUUGUGGAUUUGUUUACAACAUUAUAAUAUAUAUUGGCAAUGAUAUAUUUUAACAAUACUUUUAUAAUUUUAUUUGAGAGCUAUGUAUUCUCAACAAAAUAUAUAUUAAUAAAGAUAUGUUCUCAAUACCAUAAUUAUAAAAUUUUUAAUGUUGAAGUAUUAUCUAAACUAAAAUUUUUAACAUGAUACUUGUUAAACUUGAAAGUUAAAUAUUUCAACCAUACAUACAUGACCUUUUUCUUUAUAUAGAGGAUGAGUGAUGAAGUGACUUUUCAGUUACAACAUUUUUAAAUAUUUAUAGAAGAAUGAUAAUUAGCAAUAUAACUAAACAAUUUCACAAAUGUAUGCUGGCAUAGAAGUGAUAUUAACAUAAUAUAAUUAUUCUUCAUGUCCAAUCUAUCUCUUAGCAAGAUCUCAUUAAUUUAUGGGCAAAAUUGAUCAUAAAAUCAGAUGAAUGUUAUUUCUUUGUAACAAAAUCAACAUGAAAUGAAAAGUUAGCAUCAAACAUAUAUAGUAAUAAAAAGAGAAGUGAAAAUCAUGCAUAUAACUUGUUGAAGAAACACAUAAUAAGAAAGGAAUGUAAAACAUGUGCGUACUUCUUGGGAUGGAAUUCUCAUUUUAAUUUUGCUAUCGAGAAUUGUAAACAAGGUACGAAAGAAAAAGAGGGGAAUUCUACAAUUGGGAUUCUUUAGUAUUGAUACAUGCUUUGACGGUAAAUUUGAUAUAUGCAUUUGAAGUUUUGAAUUGUAAGAGACAUGUUGUUUCACAUAUAAAGGAUAUGAGUUAGUUUGUUAUUUCCCAUAUAAAGGGCACGGAAUUUUGAAGUGAUGUUUGCAUGAAAAGAGGCUUUCUAUAUUAAUUUUGAAAGGAUGGGACUUUGGGGAAUUUAAAAGCGCUACAAAUUGUGAAGGGCAUAAUUGGAAGAGGAAAAGUUUGGGAAGACCCUCUAGAGGUUCACAUUUUUACACUGAUUACCACAACCUGUCAUGUCAUUAAGUCGAAAAAGAGAAGCUUGAAUCAUGAUAGUAUGACAACAAAUUUGAAAUCAAUACAUUUUUUCUCAUAUAUAGUUGCUUUCAACCCAUUAUUCAAAACAAUGAUUUACAAUUUUGCCUAAUUGCAGGGCACUAGUAAAAUUGAGGCCCUUCGUCUUGACGUAGAUAAUGGGAGAGAAAGUUACACGGCUGAAACAUUUAAAGAAUUGACCAAAUUGAGGAUACUUCAACUGGAAGGUGUGAAUCUCACUGGACAUUUUCAAUACUUGUUUCCUCAACUAAGAUUGCUUGAGUGGAUGGAUCAUCAACCGGAUUUUGAAUUGACCAACUUUCACCUGAAGAAAUUAGUCGUGCUCGAUUUGUCGUGGAGCAACAUUUCGGAGAACUGGGGAGGAUGGAGUCAACUAAAGGUAAAAUGUAGAGAAGGCAUAUCUCUUAUAAAUAAUCACGUGUUGUCAAUGGGCCCAAUUGCACCAAGUUAUCCUUUAUUUCUUCUAAAAAUAUAUAUUAUGGAUUUUCUUCUAAGCAUAAGAGGAAUUUAUAGGCACCUAAAUAUGUCAAAAGCUUCUACCCCUUAAUAUUUUAGCAAACUAGUCAUGCUUAACAUCAGACCUACUAAUAAAAAAAAUUUUAAUCGUAUUAAUUAACAUCUAUCAAAAAUAUAAUUACAAUAAUGUUCCCAUGUCAAUUUUAAUCUAAAUGGUUUAUGGCUUCUAGUUAAUUUCUCCCCAUGCAAAAGUAUGUCUUUUUAGCAAUUCUUGCUAUAUGUAUGUAUGUAUCUUCUUUCAUGGUGAUGCAAAGACCCUCACAGUGACUUGUGUUUUAUAUACAUACUAAAAUUCUAAAUCCAUUGUUACUUUUAAAGUAAUGGAAGUAAUUUGUGAACUACUUUGACUUGUUGCGCACAAUAAUUAUUCUUUAGUAUUGUUGAUUGUUGAAGUCACUGUACAACACAUUUAUAAAGUAGUAAUGUCAUAUGAGUAAUACAACACUUUUUUAUGUCUUGUACAUAUAGCAUUUAAAAAUUGUUUUUCAUAAUUAAAGUAGCCAUUUCUCUUUAAUUUCAUAUUAAUUGAAGGAAAACAUGGCACCAAAUGAAUGCAUCUCAUUUCUUCCACUUGACUUUGUCAUAUAUAAUUUGAUAAUAAAAUUUGUGUAUCUCUAUUCAAUAAAUAACAACAUAGUCAUAACUUUGAAAAGCUAAACAUGACAUUUUCUAAGAAAUUUUAUUUGCGAAAAAUUGUAGAUAGCACUCAUACAUCCCUAACAUUCUCUUCGCAAUGAUAUGCUUAAAAACAUUUAUAUGCUAGCUUCGUGAAUACACUAUUGAAAAGAAACAUUUAAAAUUAAAUAAAAUAGCUGUGUAAGAGUAGGGAGAAUGGGAUUUUUUUUUUGUCCAAUCUCAAAGUGGUAACCUCUUUCUUUCAGAUAGCAACCGAGCUCAAGGUUCUCAACCUUACGCGUUGUGCUUUGGGAACAACUCCCGACUUGUCCGCUUUCAAGAGUUUGGAGAUUUUGAUACUUAAAGCUUGUGGGAAUCUACAAGAGAUUCAUCCUUCUAUUGAGGACAUCGAGACCCUUGUCUCCUUGAAUGUCAGUGAAUGUUGGCAGCUGAAGGAGCUACCACUAGGAGUAGGUAGAAUGGAAAAUUUGAGCAAGCUUCUCAUAAAUAACACUAAUAUACGAGAGAUUCCUAUUUCAAGAGGUUGUUUGACAAAGUUGGAGACUCUACAUGCCUCAGCUUGUAGACGGCUUGCUCAACUUCCAGAAUCCUGGGGCUCCCUUAUGUCGUUAACUCAACUAGACCUAAAAAGAACAGAAAUUGAAAAAUUACCCGAAUCCAUUGGAUCAUUAAAGAAGCUCAAGACUUUAAAUAUCUCUAAUUGUGCAUCGUUAACCUGCUUACCCAACUCAAUAGGUGAUUUAGCAUCUCUAUGUUGCCUUGACCUAAGAGAUUGCCAAAAGCUUGCUCAACUUCCAGACUCCAUAGGCUCUCUCGUGUCUCUAUCGCAAUUGUUGUUGUCAAAAUGCCACUCGUUGAGACAAAUCUUAGGUUCGAUUGAAAAGUUGACAUCAUUGACUGAGCUGCAUUUGCAAUCUACGGCCAUUGAAAAAUUACCUGAAUCCAUUGGUUUUUGCAAGGAGCUCAAGACUCUAGAUGCCUCUUGUUGCAAAUCGUUAGCCUGCAUACCCAACUCAAUAGGCAAUUCAACAUUUCUAUCUUGCCUUGACCUAACAGGAUGUCAUAAACUUGCUCAACUUCCAGACUCUAUAGGCUCCCUCGUGUCUCUACAGCGGUUGUUAUUGUCGGGAUGCUACUCGUUGAGACAAAUCCCAGACUCGAUUGGAAAGUUGACAUCAUUGACAGAGGUGCAUUUGAAAUCUACGGCCAUUGAAGAAUUACCUGAAUUAAUUGGUUCUUUGAAGGAGCUCAAGACUCUAGAUGCCUCUCAUUGCAAAUCGUUAGCCUGCAUACCCAAUUCAAUAGGCAAUUCAACAUCUCUGUCUUGUCUUGACCUAACAGAAUGCCAUAAACUUGCUCAACUUCCAGACACUAUAGGCUCCCUCGUGUCUCUACAGCGGUUGUUAUUGUCGGGAUGCCACUCGUUGAGACAAAUCCCAGACUCGAUUGGAAAGUUGACAUCAUUGACAGAGGUGCAUUUGAAAUCUACGGCCAUUGAAGAAUUACCUGAAUUAAUUGGUUCUUUGAAGGAGCUCAAGACUCUAGAUGCCUCUCAUUGCAAAUCGUUAGCCUGCAUACCCAAUUCAAUAGGCAAUUCAACAUCUUUGU